rnacentral:lncRNA from 1 species
CAUCCAUUUACACAUACUCCACUGAUUCAUGUAUAACACAUUAUGUAUAUAUAUAUGAGGAUCGGAUCGCAUCGCUAGGGUUCCCUUUAUUCUUUCUUUCCCAUCCCACAAGAGAGAAAGGAGGAUCGACCGAAUUCUACUAACACAGACAAGUUAGGAAGGAGGGAGCUUCUUCCUUCCCACAAGAAGGUAUUUCAAGUCAAGUCAACCCACCAACUAGACCAGACCAGGCAACAAAAGAAUAUCUCUACUUUUUUCUCUCUCUCUUUCUACAACCAUGACAGGCAAAGAGGGGAGGGGAGACGAGGGGACGGAGACCAAUAGACGGACGGCGCCACUAUUCAUCACCCAAAAAAAGCUUCCAAUUCAAUUCAGAUCAACAACAACAACAUAAGUCUUCCUUCUUCUUAUCUUCUUUCCUUGCAUUCAGAUUCUCUUCCCUUCUUCCAGCCAGUCCGUUGCCCCUGCCUGAUACACACAUAGAGCAGCAAACCACUCAUCGGGUUCACUGCAGUUUGAUCAAUUACUAGUGUUUGGGAUGCAAUGCACAGAUAUAAAUCAAUGUUACAACCCAACGUGCACGCUCAUCGAUAUAUCGAUAUAUAAACAAACAACAGAUGGCAAAUCACAACACGGUUUAUUUAACAAGGGAGCUACAUGCCUACAGCAUCUCACAUUAAAAUGACUCCAGCGCAGCAGAGAAUGUGCACCAGACAAACAACAGGUGCUUGGGAUGCAAUGCACAUAUAUAAUAUGAAUGUUGCAACCCAAUAUAUAUGCGCCCUCGCCAAUAUAUAAACAAACAACAGAUGCAUGGCAAAUCACAACACGCUUGUUUUAGGGAGCUACAUGCCUACUACAUCUCACAUUAAAAUGAUUUCAUGGCAGCAGGCAAAAAUGAAUGCAAGUAUAGCAGGGGCAAUGUGCAGCAAACAAACAACAGGUGGUGGCAAAGCGCAGAGCGUGUUAAAAAGGCCUCCAUCACAACAUGGAAAAUACGUUGGCCUGUGAGGAGGUGAAACCGCUGGAUAUGAUGCUAUACUAUAUAGGUGUCAUGUCACUUCUCCUUCAUAGUCACAUCAAAAGUUCCAAAAAGAAAAAAAAACAGGAUUUACAUUCUAAACUAUACUUUCAUUAUAAACAGUUCCAAACAGCCUGGCUCUAGUAAGGGAAUGGAUUGAAAGAAAUUAACAAGAGAAUAAAUCAAGCUAGGACACAACACAGCAAAGCGUAAACUAAAAACUGACGACAGUCAACAUAUACCCAUCUCUCGACAAUCUCAUUCAACUUCGCCCAAACUUCUUAUUCCAGAAAAACAGAUAUUAUCCUAAUUCACUUGAAUGCGUAGAUGGCACUUCUUUGUGUCCAGGAUUUAAAAAUCAAAUUUAGUUAAAUGCAUAGAUGACACUUGUUUGUGUCCAAGAUGUAAAAGCCCUACCGUGUCCAGGAUGUAAAAUUCAAAUUCAGUUAAAUGCAUAGAUGGCACUUAUUUGUGUUCGGGAUGUAAAAACCCUAUUGUGCCGCAAGACCAGAUAUAACAGGUUGGUAUUUUUCUUUGUUCUACAUCAAAACUAUAAAAUAGUCAACUAGGAAAUAUAGCAUUCCAUACAACUACCAUUAGAUGCAGUGCAAGUGUGUAACUACUGACAAAUCUUGUUCCAUGAGCGCAACCCUUUCCUUUCAAACAAGCCUAUACAACAAUGAAUACAUACAGAGCAAAAUGAAUGAAUCUACACUAUAAAAUAUGUUUAUAUACAUCCGUAUGUGGUAGUCCAUUUAAAAUAUCUAAAAAGACAAAUAUUUAGGAACGGAUGGAGUAAAACCUACAUUGAGAUAUUGAACAUUUGAACAACAAUGGAAAACCAUACAGGGGCGAACUAAAACCGCCUCUCUCUAGCCGUUUUACUUGUACAUACACGUGGCAUUGGCUAACCAAGACAAAUAAAUGAAAACCUCAGCUGCAGGCUGAUCGCUUAAAUAAGCGAACAUUUUUCUACACUCAGCUCCAAGUCAAGAAUCACCACUCUACAGCUCAUCAAUGUAUUGCAAGAUAGAGAAAUAAAUAUGUAAUAAAUUACCUCCUUUUCCCCUCUUCCUUGCAAGCGCCUCAGUCGAGAUCAUCAUCAUACGAGCGGCCGCUCGCAUUGGCAUUGGCAUUGGCAUCGUUGUUGUAGUCACCAGAUGGUGAACCAGCAGCGUCCUGGUCCUGGUCGUUGCUCUCCGCCUGCUGCGCGCCAAAAUCGGCCCCGAAAGGCCACGGCAACGUAACCCCGAACCUCCUCUCCAUGACCCUAGGCGAAGCAGGCCACCACCAGGAGGAGACUCGGGGUCAUCAGUAGUAGGCACCUCAAUCUCAUGGCGACAGACAGGGCAGGAGCUGCGGAUGUGGAGCCAGGGGAGGAUGCAGUCCUCGUGGAAGACGUGCUUGCAGGGGAGCUGCUUGGCCUUGGCGACGGCGCCGAGCAGCAAGUCGUCCAUGCAGGUGGUGCACACGUCGACGGCCGCCCGUGCGGGAGCCUGACGCGUGGCGCGCGCCAGACGGAGGCGAGGGCAGGUCGGGUCCGCCCGACCAAUCACCACCAGUUCCGCCAGACCGGGGCCAGGGGGCGCCAGGAGAUCUUCCUGGGGAUCCGCAGGCGCGUCAGUUGGCCCCCUGCCACCAAAUCUCGCGGGAUCAGCGCCCGCAAGUGCAGGCGAAUCUGCUUCGUGUUCCGCACCAGGCGUUUCCUGUUGCUCCUGCUGCUGCAUAAAAUCAUGACGAUUUGGAGUGCUGUUUUUUUUUCACUACUGUCUCCGUUAGGAUUAGGAUUAUUAAACAAAUGAUCAUUAGCAAUAUGUUCACCCCCUUGAUCAGUAGGAUUUAAUAAAUCUGGUGAAAGCAAAAGGAUCUCAUCACGAAGACGAGCACCGGCAUUAGGAUGGAGUGUAGAGAAAGGAAAAACGUUUUCAUUAAACACAACAUCCCUUGAAAUAUAAACACGCCCGGUGGAAAUAUCAAGGCAUUUGAAGCCUUUGUGAAGGUUGCUAUACCUGAGGAAAGCACACUGCUUGGAGCGAAAUUGAAGCUUGUGAUUGUUGUAAGGUCGGAGGUUGGGCCAGCAGGCACACCCAAAAAUUCUCAAGAUAGAAUAGUUGGGUUUUUCAUGGAAAAGCCGUUCAAGAGGUGUUUCAAAGUUGAUCACUUUGCUAGGCAUCCGAUUUAUCAAGUAGGUUGCGGCAAUGAAAGCUUCAUCCCAAAACUUCAGGGGCAUAGAAGCUUGAGCAAGAAGAGACAAACCUACUUCAACAAUAUGACGAUGUUUCCUCUCAGCUGAACCAUUCUGUUGGUGCGCAUGAGGGCAGGAGACAUGGUGAGAUAUACCUAUUUUGGUAAAAAAGGAGUUGAGUUUAACAUACUCCCCUCCCCAAUCUGUUUGGAGAGCAAAAAUUUUGCGAUCAAAUUGUCGCUCUACAAGUUUCUGAAAAUCAUGAAACUUUUGAAACACCUCGGACUUGUGUUUGAUAAGAUAAAUCCAUGUAAAUUUACUGAAAUCAUCUAUGAAACACACAUAAUAUUGCUUUCUUCCUAACACACACAGCAGCCUGAUACAAACACACACAACAGCAAACCACUCAUCAGGUUCACUUCAAUUUGAUCAAUUACUAGUGUUCGGGAUGCAAUGCACAGGUAUAAAUCAAUGUUGCAACCCAAUGUGCGCCAUCGUCAAUAUAUAAACAAUAGAUGGCAAAGCGCUUCACGGUUGUUUCGGGAAGAUACAGGCCUACUACAUCUCACAUUAUAACGACUCCAUCGCAGCAGCAGGGAAAAUGAAUGCAGAUAUAGCAGGGGCAAUGUGCACCAGCCAAACAACAGGUAGCAAAGCGCAGAGCAUAACCGCAAGUUAAAAAGGCCUGCGAGGAGGUGAAACUACUGGGGAUGAUGCUGUGCACAUUUUAUAGUACCGAAUUGGUUAAGUUCACAGCUUCUCCUUCAUGGUCAUAUACCUUCCUACCUCCGUGCCAGACAAAAAAGGAAUAGGAUUCACAUUCUAACCUACACUUUACCGAAAAAGGGUUUCACCCCGCUUUGUAUUUCAAAGCACCAACACCGAUACAGAGCAAACGCUGGGGCGAGCAGCACAACUAACCUACACUUUCACCAUCAAAGGUUCCGAACAGCAUGACCCUAGUGAGGGAACGAACUAAAGAAACUUACAAGAGAAUUAAUCCAGCUAGCUAGGACACAAGACCGCAAAGUGCAAACCAAAAAUUGGGAAUAGUCCUCUAAAAUAAGUUUUACUGCUGAAUGCAUAGAUACUUGUUUGUGUCCAGGCUGCUAGUAUAAACCCUAGCACAUGACAAGACCAAACAAAACUGCUGGAUAUAUUUUCCUUUGUUUCACAUCGAAUAGGAAUCCCGUACACCUAUCAUAGAUGCAGUGUACGUAAAUGUGUAACUACUGACAGCAGCCCAGCCCUAAUUAUAUUUUGAACAACCCUUUCCAUGCAUACAGCUCUGUCUAGCUGAAUAUAUAGAACAUGCACGCCAGCUUUGACCAAACAAUCAACUCAUUGAAAGGUAAAUACUAAAACCAAACCUAAAUUGAGAUCACCCUACGUACUCCCUCCGUUCCGAUUUACUUGUCGUGGUUUUAGUUCAAAUUUGAACUAAAACCACGACGAGUAAAUCAGAACGGAGGGAGUACGUCUUACACGGAAGUAACCGUAAGUAAUAAUGAUGAAAUAAGGGACGGUGCAUUAGUCGACAUCAUUGUUGUUGUGGUCGCUGCUCUCCGCCUGCUGGGCGCCAGAAAAAGCCCAUGCCAGCGAGAUCCUGAACCUCCUCUCCAUGACCCUAGGCCAAGGGCCACCACCAGCACCAGCACCAGGAGACUCAGCUGGGUCAUCAGUGGGCACCUCGAUCUCAUGGCGACAGACAGGGUAGGAGCUGCGGAUGUGGAGCCAGGGGAGGAUGCAGUCCUCGUGGAAGACGUGCUUGCAGGGGAGCUGCUUGGCCUUGGCGGCGGCGCGGAGCAGGAAGUCGUCCAUGCAGACAGGGCACACAUCGACGGCCGCCAUCAUGUCAAUGUCAGGGGAGACGGCCUUGGCCCCGAAAGGCCACGGCAACGUGACCCCGAACCUCCUCUCCAUCACUCUGGGACAAAGAUGCGGGCGCCGCAGUAGCACGGCCGUGGGGUGGAGAAAGGGGAUCGAGAGAGUCUCAUAUUUUAUUUUAUUUUAUUUUAUUUUCUUUGGCAGGAAACAAAAAGGCAACCCUUCCUCCCCUAAAUCAAAUCCCGACCAUCCAUUACUUCUGCAUCCAACGCAUGAAAUUCCUUCACUCAUAGUACAACACAAUAUUUCACAUUCCAACUUUUCUUUUUGCAUGAUUACUAGAGACUAUGGCACCACCUGAGGGCUGAGGCUGAGGCUAGGCUGGCACGUGCGCACCUAUCUUGUCUAGGCGAGUGAAUUGCAAAAAACAUCGACAUUGAAGGCUAGGUUUGCAGAAACCACAAGUCUACUGUUUUAUGCCCAAAAACACUAUUUCCCAGGCUAUUUUCUACAGUUCUAUUACCUUGACCAUAGAAACUCCAUACAGCAAAUUUUAGCUCAUUUUAUUUAACCAAUCUCCCUCAAUAUGUUUCCCAAAUUUAAGUUCAGUGGAGAACAUUUUGAAGGAAGUACCAUUUUUAUUUAUUCAAAUGGUAUGAAAUUUUUACAGUUCCUUCAUAUGCCAAACUUAUUAUCCUACAGCAAAUUUCAGCACAAUCAAAUCAUCUAUGUAAGCCCAGCUUCAAAUUCUAUUUUCUGUCCAGAUUGGCACAUUGCAAAGCAAGUGCUAUCUAGACACCUCCUAUUGCCCUCAAACUUUUUGUGCCAUCUUCCAUAUCCAAAUCAUUGCCACAUUCCAAUAUUCAGCUCCAUUUGCCUACUAAAUCUUCCUCGGCAAAUUUUCAAAGUUUCUAUCCUGAGAGAAGCUUUGUGAAUGAAGUACAAGCUAGGAUUAUCCAAAUGGUAUAAAAAAUUACAGUGCUUUCUUAUGCCCAAAUGACCAUACUCCACAAAAUUUCAGCUCAAUCCAUGUACUCAUUUGAGCCCAGCUUCAACAUCCAUAUUUCUGCCCGAUGUGGUACUUUGCAAAUCAAGUGCCAUCUAGGCUCCUCCAGUUGAGCUGAAAAAUUGCCAAGACAGUCUCCCUAGUAGAUGAACAUCCUCAGCCAAAACUCAGGCACAUUAUCCAUGUGCAUUUCCCGUACCGCUAAUCAAACACUUGGCUGCUAAUUCAUGUUUGAGCAUAGUUCGGUCUCCUCGUGAGAUUCUUUGGUUGUAAUUUUCUCCCUGGCACCUACCUGGGGAGUUCCCAACCCACUAGACAUGUCUAGGCCGCCCAGAACGCAUGGCAACGCCACGGUCACGCGGCGACCACGCGGCGGGCAUGCGAGUUUACACGCUCUGGAGUUGGGGCCCUCGGCCACCGUCCAAACCUCGACGUAUCGCCACCAAACCAUGUAUUUCUGAUUAAAUAUAUACUUAUGUAACUAUAAAUGAUUUUUAGAAAAAAAUAAAGAGCAAACUAUAAGGUACCUGCAGUUCAAAUUUGACCCGUUUCCUACUAAAUUGGAGGAAAUUUGUCUUUUUCACGAGAGGUGGAUCAAAACUUUUGACACCUAACCAUUUGGUCAAUUCUACAUUAAAUAUAGCCUAAUAUUUUAGAAAAAUGAUUAGGUACAAUUUUGCAACAAAUAUAUGAUAGGUCCUUCACAAAAAAACUCAUUCUGGGCACUCUGAAAAUGGAAAAUGUAUUUUUCAUCCAAAGAAAAUGAAAACUUACUUAGGCAACAUUGUUUGCCAUUCCAAGAUUCACCCUUGUGCACGAUAUGGGAUCAUUUGAACAAACUCUUUCAUGAAUGUCGCCAUAAGAUUGAUCAUUUUGUCUUGAAAGCCAUAAACCUUCACACAUGAUAGCUCAUUUCUGAGAACACUUUUUAAAAAUAAUUACCGGAUUACAAGUUUAUUAUUUUUCCUGGUAUCUUGGCCACGUAUAAUGACACAAUGCGAAGGUUUUCCAAUUUUUUUUUAAUUUUUCAUGCCCGUUUCAAAAUGCGGUCAAAACGGCGGGCAUGACCGUUCCUCGCUAGUGGUUGAAUCUUGGAAACUUUUGGUGUUUCUCUAAUGAAAUAGAUACUUUUGUACCUAGAAAUAAUUUUUGGAAAAAAUCAUGAGCAAACUAUGAGGCAGCUGCACUUCAAAUUUGACCCGCUUCCUUCUAAAUCGACAGAAAUUUGUCUUUUUCACAAGAGGUGGAUCAAAGUUUCUGACACCCGACCAUUUGGUCAAUUGUACAUUUAAUAUGUCCUAAUACUUUAGAAAAAUGAUUUGGUCCAAUUUUGCAACAAAUAUAUGGUAAGUCCUUCAUAAAAAAUCAUUUUGGCACUCGAAAACUGGAAAAUGAUUUUUUUCGUCCCAAUAAAAUAAAAACUUCCUUAGGCAACAUUGUUUGCCAUUCCAAGAUGCACCCUUGUGCACAAUAUGAGAUCAUUUUAACAAACUAUGUCAUGAAUGCUACCAGAACAUUGAUCAUUUGGCUUGAAAGCCAUUGAUCUUCACACGUGAUAGCUGAUUUCUGAGAACACUUUUUUAAAAUAAUUACCGUAUUACAAGUUUAUUAUUUUCCUGGUAUCUUGGCCACAUAUAAUGACAUAAUGCGAAGGUUUUCCAAUUAUUUUAUUUUAUUUUUAUUUUUCAUACUCGUUUCAAAAUGUGGUCAAAACAGCAGGCAUGACCGUUCCUAGCUAGUGGUUGAAUCUUGGAAAACUUUUGGUGUUUCUCUAAUGAAAUAGAUACUUUUGUACCUAGAAAUAAUUUUUGGAAAAAAUCAUGAGAAAACAAUGAGGCAGCUGCAGUUCAAAUUUGACCCGCUUCCUACUGAAUCGACAGAAAUUUGUCUUUUUCACGAGAGGUGGAUCAAAGCUUCUGACACCCAACCAUUUGGUCAAUUAUACAUUAAAUAUGUCCUAAUACUUUAAAAAAUGAUUUGGUCCAAUUUUGCAACAAAUAUAUGAUAGGUCCUUCAUAAAAAACUCAUUUUUGGCACUCAAAAAAUGGAAAAUGAUUUUUUCGUACAAAUAAAAUGAAAACUUCCUUAGGCAACAUUGUUUGCCAUUCCAAGAUGCACCUUUAUGCACAAUAUGAGAUCAUUUUAACAAACUAUGCCAUGAAUACUACCAUAACAUUGAUCAUUUUACUUGAAAGCCAUUCAUUUUCACAUGUGAUAGCUUGUUUCUGAGAUCACUUUUUUAAAAUAAUUACCGUAUUACAAGUUUAUUAUUUUUCCUGGUAUCUUGGCCAUGUAUAAUGACACAAUGCGAAGGUUUUCCAUUUUUUAUUUUUUUAUUUUUUCAUGCCCAUUUCAAAAUGCGGUCAAAACGGCGGGCAUGACCGUUCCUCGCUAGUGGUUGAAUCUUGGAAACUUUUGGUGUUUCUCUAAUUAAAUAGAUGCUUAUGUACCUAGAAAUGAUUUUUGGGAAAAAUAAAAAGCAAACUAUAAGGUAGCUGUAGUUCAAAUUUGACCCGCUUCCUCCUGAAUCGGCGGAAAUUUGUCUUUUUCACGAGAGGUGGAUAAAAUCUUUUGACACCCAACCUUUUGGUCAAUUGUACAUUAAAUAUGGCCUAAUAUUUUAGAAAAUUGAUUUGAUCCCAUUUUGCAACAAAUAUUAUGUAGGUCCUUCACAAAAAAACUCAUUUUGGACACUCAAAAAAUGGAAAAUGAAUUUUUUGUCCAAAAAAUGAAAACUUUCUUAGGCAACAUUGUUUGUCAUUCCAGGAUGCACCCUUGUGAAAAGUAUGAUAUAUUUGAACAAAUUAUGCCAUUCCAGAAUGCACCCUUGUGCAAAAAAUACAAGAGAAACAAAUAGAAGAACACAAUUACAUAAGCUUUGUUCUCAUUGGUUGAAAUGUUUGUGCCAUGGAUCGAUGACAUGUCAUCCAUCCAUCCAUCCCAUUUAUCUAAAGAAAAAAAGAGAAAAAAAGAAACCACCCCCCCCCAAAACCCUAUCCCCUCCCACUCCAUCGUCGCCGCCCCCUUCUCCCCACAUCCAAUCUCGCCACCGGACUCACUCUCCCCCCCAUCCUCUCUCGCUCGCGCACGCUUAAGCCGCUCGCCGCCACCACGUCCGUCGCCGCUGCCGCGCUCAGGGCGCAGUGGCCUCCUCCCCGCUCGCCGCCCUCCUCGCCCCCUCAAGGNNNNNNNNNNNNNNNNNNNNNNNNNNNNNNNNNNNNNNNNNNNNNNNNNNNNNNNNNNNNNNNNNNNNNNNNNNNNNNNNNNNNNNNNNNNNNNNNNNNNNNNNNNNNNNNNNNNNNNNNNNNNNNNNNNNNNNNNNNNNNNNNNNNNNNNNNNNNNNNNNNNNNNNNNNNNNNNNNNNNNNNNNNNNNNNNNNNNNNNNNNNNNNNNNNNNNNNNNNNNNNNNNNNNNNNNNNNNNNNNNNNNNNNNNNNNNNNNNNNNNNNNNNNNNNNNNNNNNNNNNNNNNNNNNNNNNNNNNNNNNNNNNNNNNNNNNNNNNNNNNNNNNNNNNNNNNNNNNNNNNNNNNNNNNAUUCUAGCCGGCCCUCGAUAUAUCUACCUAGCUGCGCUCCGUUCUCUACCCGUGUGAUCCAAGGGUCCAACGGAAGAAGAAGCCCGCCGCCGCCCCCGGCUCCCGCCACCCACCACUCUCCUCCCCACCUCAGAUCCUCUCCCCUCUCCCCACUCCCAGAUCCAACUGGCCUGGUGGUCGUCGUCCGGGAUGGCAUGCUCAUCCCACGACCCGAGACGGAGGCCGUCUCGGGGUCCCUCUGCCGCGUCUUCACCGUCUUCCCCUUCGUCGUCACCAAUCACGGCGCCGGCUCUAUCAUCUUCGGCCGCGGGUACCAGGAGUAUCGCCUCGGGGAGUACUCGACCUGGCUGCAUUGCCGGGUUGAGGACGCCGACAACUGGGCCAAGAUCCGCAGCUGCCUCCGCGACGGUGGGGUCUGCCAGAGGUUCGGGGCCAGGAGGGAGUCGCUGCAGCAGUUCGUCAACAACAACCUCUCCCCGAUUCAGGUCGAUUUCUUCACAUGUUCUUCGCCCUUAAGUUUAAUCCUUGUGAUUUUGGUGGUUAGUGCGGAUUUGUUAUGAGCACAUUUAGUUGGAAAAUAAAUUCCCUGCUGCUAUUGCUAGUUGGAUUUUGGGGAUACGAAUCGAUUGGUCUCCAGGGAUGCGGAAAUUUCAUCUCUACUAAAGAAUUGUGGUAUGAUGGUUAAGUCUAACGAGUGGCAUUGCUUGUCGAGUUGGUACAGAUUGUGUGUGGGUAUUCCGCAGGACCGAUAGAAGAAUCGUCGGAUCCCAUCUCCUCCAGGACCACCACAUGUGACACUUCAAUUCGUAUGAAUAAUUGCUCUGCAAUUUUCAUGCUACAUUGUCAAUUAGUGAUUUAAUUUCUGCACCACUGUCUUCCAGUGUGCUGUAUUGCUGUUGUCUCCCCUCUUUGCUAUUUUAAUUGGCUGUCUAUUUGUCUAUUAUGUGCUAAAGUGCCAAUGGAUACAACUAGCUUGCCUUUUGUGGCUGCAUGGCAAUGUAUUAUAUUGAGAUAGGGGUCUGGUGAAGAUUAAUGCAAGAUUCGAGCGGUGGUAGAGACUAGUGCGAGCUAUUUAACUUGACUUAUUCAGUUUGAUCAUGGCAUGUUUCUGUACAAAUUGUUUCCACUUGAUUUUAGCAAAUUUUGAGGAUGACCAUGACAUUGCUUUAUUGUACUCUAUUUUGAUGAAAGAAUGGCCUUGUGAUAGAAUUUGCAUAAACUUAACUGAACUGUGGACUUAGUGCUGUGAAACUUCUCACAUUGCAUUUUUUUUCCUUUCUGACUAUCAGUUUUUCGCCCCGACUAUCAUAAUUCUCCCUUGUUGCGUGUCGGAAUACCUUGUUCAUGUCAAUUAUAGUAUCCACUCAUGAAAUUGAAACCUUCAACAUUAUUAUAUUGGAGACUACUGGUCCGUGUUGAUCUACUGGUCCUGUGUGUAUGUGUGUGUGUCGAGAAAAGUUGUGGUUUGUGCUGCUCCUUUGUAACGUGAUGAAACAAGCACCUGUAGUGUCUGAGUGAGUGAGUGUUUGUCUGUUGCCAACUUACACUUUCAAAACCGCGUUAAAUAACAAGUUUGUUCGAGCAAUUUUUUUAGUCUCCUCUUUGUUCUUCUGGGUUUUUUAUGAUCUUGUUUGGUAAUUCUGGUGGUACAUGUGUAGUAAGUAAAUAGUGCUAUUGCUUAACUCAAAAUUUCAUUUACAAAGAAUAAAAAGGAUGAGCAUUUCUCCAGCCAAUGGCUAAAGUAGUUGCUGUUGUGAUCGGCUGGACCUAUGCAUUUCAUUAGAACUCAGCUAUAGCUUGGACUAUGCUUCUGAACAGAAUGAAACAUUUCUCUUUCUUUUAUCUGUCUUCAAUUCUUUGGAUCGAACGGCUCUCUUGAACACAUGUAAGUUAGUGUGGUGAUGGUUAAACAACUACAGUAGAUCGGCGCUUUUGCAUUUUUGCAUUUCUCAACCUUGGAUAUUUUGCCAAAAUAAACCCUUAGAUUCGUUGCCAUUCCUUUGAUAAUAAUUCGUUGUGGCCGUUAAGUAUUUUUAGCAGUAAUAAACCUGUCUCUUUCAUUCGUGUGGCAGUUUACUGUUUACAAUAUCUUGGAUACAACCAGGGGAUACACUGCCAGUAGAUAGAGCGGACAACAAGUUCACUUGAUCUAGCGAACAUAUGAGCCACCUUAUUAGCACUAUGACUUACAUGAACAAGAGAAAUGGAAGUAAAACUGGACAAUGAAGAUUUAAUAUCAGCAACAAUUUUCAGUGUUUUCCUCAACUUGUUUUUGCUGCCACUUGAUAUAUACUUAGCUUGUACUUGAAGCUGUGGUUUAAUGAUGGUGAUUUUGUUCUACUUGGAUGCAUUGGUACCCCCAUCAUCGAGCACACGGAUGCAACAGUGGCAAGAAGAUCAUGUCCGUGUGCAUCACUAAGCACACCAUGGCAAUCAUCCACCUCCGCACAGAUGCUAACUCAAUCCAGAUCAUCGUCGACGCUAUCAUCGACAGGUAUCUCUCUCGGUUCCCUUUAUUCUCUCCUGCAUUUGUGAUGAUAGUUUGUGAGCUCGGACUAGUAAAUGUUAGAUCUUGCGUGUUGAAUGGAUGGCCGUCGUACUAGAAUGAUAUUGUUGUUUAGGCACAAUGUGUUGAAUUGAAGUUGCAGGACCUGCACUCGUGCCAUGCAUAUUCUUAUUGUGUUUGUUGUCUUGUAUGAAUACCUCAUUUUAACUAGCUCGUCAACAAAAAGCACGGUACUAGCUGAAAUAUGUUUAUCAUUCUAUAAAGAAUUGCUCUUUACUCCUUUUUUUUGAAUGGAAUGUUCAUAAUAUAUUGGCUCCGGUUUUUCUAAUUCUUCCCGGCUGAUUCAUGUAACAGGGCGACCAGUGAGUUAGCCCAGUCCUGACUAUGGUUGUCCAGUGAGUCUGGCAUUUGAUCGCUAUCAAGGAGCUCCAUGCUGAAGAAGAAAACACUUCUAGAGCUUGUAACUAUGAUUCCCAUACUUGUAGAGCUUGUAUCAGCUUGUAAAGCCUGUAAAGUACUGUAUAUGUUACAGCUUGUAUUACUUGUCAUUUGUAGAGCUUGUACUGAAUCUAGCUAUUGUUAUUAGAAGUAUUAUGUGUUUUUUCCGCUUGGAAAUUUAAAUAAUGGUUAUUUCUUUUACUAUCAAAUUGAAAUAUGAAGAAUCUGAGCCUAAUAGCUGGGACCCACUUAUCAGAACCUGACAAGUGGGACCCGUUUGACUAGUGGACCCAUUUUAUAAAAAAGAAAACUAAAACUGUGUUGGUACAAAAAGGCCAUGGCCCAGAAAAUAAAAAGGCCGAAUUGAUGGGCUAGGCCCAUGUAGCUAGCGAAAAUUGACAGGAAAAAAUAUAUAUGGGCUAAAUUAAUGGGCUUGGUCCAUAUAGACACCAAAUCGGACCGGGCUGAUUCUUAUCAACGACCUUUUCAUUUGGUCGCGAUUUUGCCAUGUCAGCUAGCCAAGUUGGAUCCGAUGUGGCCUAGGCAGACAACUAGCGACCAAAACAGAAGGUCGUAGGAUCAACGACCUUUUGUUUUGGUCGUUGCCUUCAAUGACCAUAUCACGCAAAAUGUCGUUAAUUUCCAUUAAAGACGGAUGGCUUUUGACCAUCUGUUUUUGGUCACAAAAAGGUCGCAAAUGAAAAAUAAUGACCAUUUAGCGACCAAUAAUGAUGGUCACAAGUUGACAUAUUUCUUGUAGUGACAAUGUGACACAGGAGAAGAUCAAGCUACAAGCCAGUUAUGAGAGGUUGGUUGAAGAUUUCAAUGCCCUUUUGGAUGCCUAGGAGCUGAGGGCCCAGAUAGAAAGGAAACCUGAUGAGAGCAAGCUACAGGAGAAGUAUGACAUGGUUAAGAACAUGGUUGUGCUCAAGUCAGUGUCAUUAGGAACAUGAAGUUGACGCUUGCUGAAGAGAAGAGGAAGUUACAUGCCCACACUAAUGAGCUUGAAAAGGUUGUGGAGCAGACCAAGGUGAAGUUGAAUGCUAUCAAUUCCAUCUUAGAUGAAUGAGCCAUUGGGCAGUAUCAUGUAAUAUGCUACUUAUUAGUACUAUCAUCAUGCUUAUGUAAUGAUCUCCCAAAUAUGCUACUUAUUACUGAAGGAAAUAUGCCCUAGAGGCAAUAAUAAAGUUAUUAUUUAUUUCCUUAUUUCAUGAUAAAUGUUUAUUAUUCAUGCUAGAAUUGUAUUAACCGGAAACAUAAUACUUGUGUGAAUACAUAGACAAACAGAGUGUCACUAGUAUGCCUCUACUUGACUAGCUCGUUGAUCAAAGAUGGUUAUGUUUCCUAGCCAUUGACAUGAGUUGUCAUUUGAUUAACGGGAUCACAUCAUUAGGAGAAUGAUGUGAUUGACUUGACCCAUUCCGUUAUCUUAGCACUCGAUCGUUUAGUAUUCUGCUAUUGCUUUCUUCGUGACUUAUACAUGUUCCUAUGACUAUGAGAUUAUGCAACUCCCGUUUACCGGAGGAAAGCUUUGUGUGCUACCAAACGUCACAACGUAACUGGGUGAUUAUAAAGGUGCUCUACAGGUGUCUCCAAAGGUACUUGUUGGGUUGGCGUAUUUCAAGAUUAGGAUUUGUCACUCCGAUUGUCGGAGAGGUAUCUCUGGGCCCAGUCGGUAAUGCACAUCACUAUAAGCCUUGAAAGCAUUGCAACUAAUGAGUUAGUUGCGGCAUGAUGUAUUACGGAACGAGUAAAGAGACUUGCCGGUAACGAGAUUGAACUAGGUAUUGAGAUACCGACGAUCGAAUCUCGGGCAAGUAACAUACCGAUGACAAAGGGAACAACAUAUGUUGUUAUGCGGUCUGACCGAUAAAGAUCUUCGUAGAAUAUUGAUACGUCCAUUUUGCAUCAUGCUUUUAUAUCGAUAUUUAUUGCAUUAUGGUUUGUUACUUCACAUUAUAUCACAAUACUUAUGGCCAUUCUCUCUUAUUUUACAAGGUUUACAUAAGGAGGGAGAAUGCCGGCAGCUACAAUUCUGGGCUGGAAAAGGAGCAAAUAUUAGAGACCUAUUCUGCACAACUCCAAAAGUCUUGAAACUCCACAGAAUAUCUUAUAAUAAAUAAUAAAAAUCCUCGCCAAAGAUGAAGACUAGUGGGGCCACACCCUAUCCACGAGGGAGGCCCCCCCUCCCUAGGGAGCGCCCCCUACCUCGUGGGCCCCCUGGUGGCUCUCCGACGCCCAUCUUCUUCUAUAUGAAGUCUUUCAUCGAGAAAAAAAUAGGAGGCAACCUUUCGGGACGAGACUCCGCUGCCACGAGGCGGAACCUUGGUGGAACCAAUCUAGGGCUCCGGCAGAGCUGUUCUGCCGGGGACACUUCCCUCUGGGAGGGGGAAAUCAUCGCCAUCGUCAUGACCAACGCUCCUCUCAUCAGGUGAGGGCAAUCUCCAUCAACAUCUUCACCAGCACCAUCUCCUCUCAAAACCCUAGUUCAUCUCUUGUAUCCAAUUCUUGUCUCCAAGUCCGGGAUUGGUGCUAGUAGGUUGCUAGUAGUGUUGAUUACUCCUUGUAGUUGAUGCUAGUUGGUUUAUUUGGUGGAAGAUCAUAUGUUCAGAUCUUUUAUGCAUAUUAUUACCCCUCUGAUUAUGAACAUGAAUAUGCUUUGUGAGUAGUUACAUUUGUUCCUGAGGACACGGGAGAAGUCUUGCUAUUAGUAGUCAUGUGAAUUUGGUAUUCGUUCGAUAUUUUGAUGAGAUGUAUGUUGUCUAGCCUCUAGUGGUGUUAUGUGAACGUUGACUACAUAACACUUCACCAUUAUUUGGGCCAAGAGGAAGGCAUUGGGAAGUAAUAAGUAGAUGAUGGGUUGCUAGAGUGACAGAAGCUUAAAACCUAGUUUAUGUGUUGCUUCGUAAGGGGCUGAUUUGGAUCCAUAUGUUUCAUGCUAUGGUUAAGUUUACCUUAAUACUUUUGGUGUAGUUGCGGAUGCUUGCAAUAGAGGUUAAUCAUAAGUGGGAUGCUUGCUCAAGUAAGAACAGCACCCAAGCACCGGUCCACCCACAUAUCAAAUUAUCAAAGUACCGAACGCGAAUCAUAUGAACGUGAUGAAAACUAGCUUGACGAUAUUCCCAUGUGUCCUCGGGAGCGCUUUUCCUAUUAUAAGAGUUUGUCCAGGCUUGUCCUUUGCUACAAAAAGGAUUGGGCCACCUUGCUGCACUUUAUUUACUUUUGUUACUUGUUGCUCGUUACAAAUUAUCUUAUCACAAAACUAUCGGUUACCACUUAUUUCAGUACUUGCGGAGAAUACCUUGCUGAAAACCGCUUAUCAUUUCCUUCUGCUCCUCGUUGGGUUCGACACUCUUACUUAUCGAAAGGACUACAAUAGAUCCCCUAUACUUGUGGGUCAUCGAGACUCUUUUCUGGCGCUGUUGCCGGGGAGUGAAGCGCCUUUGGUAGGUGGAAUUUGGUAAGGAAAAAUUUAUAUAGUGUGCUGAAAUUUACUGUCACUUGUUACUAUGGAAAGUAAUCCUCUGAGGGGCUUUUUCGGGGUAUCUUCACCCAGACCAGUAGAGCAAAGAGUUGCUCCUCAACCUACUGAACCUAUUGAAAAUGAAAUUCCUUUUGAAUUUCCUUCGGGUAUGAUAGAAAAACUGCUAGCUAAUCCUUUUGCAGGAGAUGGAACAAAGCAUCCUGAUGACCACUUAAUAUAUGUGGAUGAAGUUUGUGGAUUACUUAAGCUUGCACGUAUACCCGAUGAUGUUGCUAAGAAUAAGGUCUUCCCUUUAUCUUUGAAGUGAGACGCAUUGACAUGGUAUAGGCUAUGUGAUGAUACGAGAUCAUGGAACUAUAGAAGAUUGAAAUUGGAAUUUCAUCAAAAGUAUUACCCUAUGCAUCUUGUUCAUUGUGAUCGCAAUUAUAUAUAUAAUUUUUGGCCUCGUGAAGGAGAAAGCAUCGCUCAAGCUUGGGGGAGGCUUAAAUCAAUGUUAUAUUCAUGCCCCAAUCAUGAGCUCCCAAGAGAAACAAUUAUUCAAAAAAAUUAUGCUCGGCUUUCUGAAAAUAAUCGCAGCAUGGUCGAUACUUCUUGUGCUGGCUCUUUUAUGAUGAAGACUAUUGGAUUUAAAUGGGAUUUAUUGGAUAGAAUUAAACGCAACUCUGAAGAUUGGGAUCUCGACAAAGGUAAGGAAUCAGGUAUGACACGUAAGUUUGAUUGUGUUAAAUCUUUUAUGGAUACCGAUAUUUUCUGUAAGUUUAGCACUAAAUAUGGGCUUGACUCUGAGAUAGUAGCUUCUUUCUGUGAAUCUUUUGCUACUUAUGUUGAUCUACCUAAGGAGAAGUGGUUUAAAUAUCAUCCUCCCAUAGAAGUAAAAGUAGCUGCACCAAUUGAAGUUGAAGAAAAGACUGUCACUUAUAAUGAUCCUAUUGUUCCUACUUCUUAUGUUGAGAAACCACCUUUCCCUGUUAGAAUAAAGGAUCAUGCUAAAGCUUCAACUGUGGUUCGUAAAAGCAAUAUUAGAACUUAUACACCUCCUGAGCAAGUUAAAGUAGAACCUAAUAUUGCUAUUGUUAACGAUCUCUUGUCUAAUAAUAUUGAUGGGCAUGUUAUUCAGUUCUGCGGUGAAACUGCUAGAAUUGCUAAACCUUGUGCUAAAGAUAAACAUAGACCUGUGGUACGCAUGCCUGUUAUUUCUGUUAAAAUAGGAGAUCAUUGUUAUCAUGGCUUAUGUGAUAUGGGUGCUAGUGCUAGUGUUAUACCUUAUGACUUGUAUAAAGAAUUUAAGCAUGAAAUUGCACCUGCUGAGUUAGAAGAUAUUGAUGUCACAAUUAAACUUGCCAAUAGGGAUACUAUUUCAGCAAUGGGAAUUGUUAGAGAUGUUGAAGUCUUGUGUGGGAAAACUAAAUAUCCUGCUGAUUUUAUUGUUCUCAGUUCCCCACAAGAUAGCUUCUGUCCCAUUAUAUUUGGUAGACCCUUCUUGAACACUGUUAAUGCUAGGAUAGAUUGCGAAAAGAAUGUUGUUACUAUUGGCUUGGAUGAUAUGGUUCAUGAGUUUAAUUUCUCUAAAUUUAGUAAACAACACCGUGAAGAAUAAUUGCCUAGUAAGGAUGAAAUUAUUGGUCUUGCUUCUAUUGUCGUAUCUCCUAGUGAUCCUUUAGAACAUUAUUUGCUAGACCAUGAAAACGAUAUGUUUAUGAAUGAAAGAAGGGAAAUAGAUGAAAUAUUCUUUAAAUAGGAACCUAUUCUGAAACACAAUUUUCCUGUUGAAAUCCUAGGGGAUCCUCCUCUACCCAAGGGUGAUCCCGUGUUUGAGCUUAAACCGUUGCCCGAUAAUCUUAAAUAUGCUUAUCUUGAUGAAAAGAAGAUAUAUCCUGUUAUUAUUAGUGCUAACCUUUCAGAGCAUGAAGAAGAAAGAUUAUUGAAAACUUUGAAGAAGCACCGUGCUGCUAUUGGAUAUACUCUUGAUGAUCUUAAGGGAAUUAGUCCCACUCUAUGUCAACAUAAAAUAAAUUUGGAGGUGGACGCCAAACCGGUUUGUGAUCCUCAAAGACGUUUGAAUCCUAAAAUGAAAGAAGUGGUAAGAAAAGAAAUACUAAAGCUUCUGGAGGCAGGUAUAACUUAUCAUGUUGUUGAUAGUCAGUGGGUAAGUCCUGUCCAUUGUAUCCCUAAGAAGGGAGGUAUUAUUGUUGUUCCUAAUGAUAAAGAUGAAUUGAUUCCACAAAGAAUUAUUACAGGCUAUAGGAUGGUAAUUGAUUUCCGCAAAUUAAAUAAGGCUACUAAGAAAGAUCAUUACCCCUUACCUUUUAUAGAUAAAAUGCUAGAAAGAUUACGCAAACAUACACAUUAUUGCUUCCUAGAUAGUUAUUCUGGUUUCUCUCAAAUACCUGUGUCGGCUAAAGAUCAAUCAAAGACUACUUUUACAUGCCCUUUUGGUACUUUUGCUUAUAGACGUAUGCCUUUUGGUUUUUGUAAUGCACCUGCUACCUUUCAAAGAUGCAUGAUGGCUAUAUUCUCUGACUUUUGUGAAAAGAUUUGUGAGGUUUUCAUGGACGAUUUUUCCAUCUAUGGAUCCUCUUUUGAUGAUUGCUUGAGCAAUCUUGAUCAAGGUUUGCAGAGAUGUGAAGAAACUAAUCUUAUCUUGAAUUGGGAAAAGUGCCACUUUAUGGUUAAUGAAGGUAUUGUCUUGGGGCAUAAAGUUUCUGAAAGAGCUAUUGAAGUUGAUAAAGCCAAGGUUGAUGCUAUUGAAAAGAUGCCAUGUCCCAAGGACAUCAAAGGUAUAAGAAGUUUCCUUGGUCAUGCCGGAUUUUAUAGGAGGUUCAUUAAGGACUUCUCAAAAGUUUCUCGGCCUCUGACUAAUUUAUUACAAAAAGAUAUACCAUUUGUCUUUCAUGAUGAUUGUGUAGAAGCAUUUGAAAUACUUAAGAAAGCAUUGAUCUCUGCACCUAUUGUUCAGCCACCUGAUUGGAAUUUACCCUUUGAAAUUAUGUGUGAUGCUAGUAAUUAUGUUGUAGGUGUUGUUCUAGGGCAAAGAGUUGAUAAGAAAUUAAAUGUUAUCCAUUAUGCUAGUAAAACUCUAUACAAUGCUCAAAGAAAUACAACACGAAGUGGGUAGACAAUGGCGCUCCCACCCACCCACCCUCCGGCGACUCUCUCCGGUGAUCUCCCCGUUCCUCCGGUAACUUUUGGAUCUUCUCCGUGCAUUGGAUUUGGAUUUCCCUCCUCUCUCUUUGGAUCCCAUUCUUUAUGGGUUCAGAUGGUGGUGCUACUCUGGAUCUGGAUUUUUCUCGUGGUGUGGCUUUUGCCGAUAAGGUUUUUAGAUCUUCUGGUCUUUCGAUCCAUACUUUGGAGGGAUCCCGUCCUUUUGUCCUGGUGGUCUCUUUCAGUUGGCAUGAUUUCCCGCUUGAUGAAGAUUCUGUGGCUGCGGCACUUGAGGCAGCUCUAGGGGGUUCAGCAAUUGAUCUUAUGGUGACAUAUAUCAAGGAUAAGGUUUUCUCAUUUGUGGUGUCUUGCAAGGAGAUUGGUUUUCAUAUUUUUGAUUCAUGCUCUUAUGCUUGUCCUCAGUUUAAAUGUUAUUUUCAUCUCUGGGGUAAUGGUGGGCCAAAUUGGUGGCGUGAGUUUUUGAUCUGGAAGAAGGAGUGUGAUGCUGAGUGGAUUCUUGUUAGUCCCUCUAAGCGGCGUGCUACUCUUGGUAUGUUGGCUAUGCAUAAGCCCCCUGUCAAGUCUGUGAUCAAAUCUGCUAAUUCUACUCGUAAAAGGCUAUCUUUCGCCACGUUCCAGAAUUAUGAUGUGUGCAAAGGGUAUCGCUAUCCGGCUACUCAAAAUUGUCUUGAGUUAGCAUCUUUGUCUGGUUAUAAUCUUCCCCCCAAGGAACGAGUUGUCAUUCACCCCCCGCCGCCGGUGGAGCUUCAGUGGACGGUUGCCUCGCCAUCGAUCACCUUUGGUACGGUCGCUCCUAUCCGAUCGCUUUCCCCGGAACCACUAGCUCCAUCACCGGCGCGUUCUUCGGGCGGGAUUGCUAAUGUUUCGAAUGAUGCCAUGAUGGGCCCCUCCGCCAUGUUGGGUUCUUCGGACUCGGUUGUCACUGGACCUUCGCCCACCUGUCUUCCCAGGCCAAGUUUUUCUCCGUUGAGUGGCGGCCCAAUUUCUGUGGAGCCCAGUUCUUCUCCUUCUUCUCCAGUUGGGCCUUUUAGCCCUUCCACGUUGGUGAUCCCGUCCACGUAGGAGGCUCUGGACGCUUUCGAGACCAUGGUCAAUGACAUGGUGGACCAAGUGCUUACGUGUUCUCGUUGCUCUUUGGGGGGCCACCUUCUGUCAGCUGCCCCUCCACCAUUGGAUGUUUGGCAUGUGGAGAUCCUGCUCAUUCAAGAAAAGACUGUGAGUUUAUUGCGAUUGAAAAAGGUUUAUGUUGGAAACGGAAGCGUCCCGCUAUCUCGGAUAGACCGGUCUCUCCUUGCGUCGGGAAGCACGUGCUGCCGCCAUCUCUGCAGGCUAGUCCUAUCACAUCACCAUUAACCAGCCCGCAGUCUUGUGCUUCGCACACCCCAUCUGCUCCGCCUCCUCCGACGCCACCGCUCCCUUCCUCGCCACCGCCCAUGGCCAACUUCGCCCUGGAUCCGCAGCGUUAUGUGCCGGUGGGCCAUCACAUCAUUGACGGAGGUGUUCAUCACGUUCCUCGGACUUUCGUUACGCCCCCAUCGCCCGUUGUUCGUUCGCAUGAGAGCUUCAUGAUUGCUGAGAUUAUGCCGGCUCCACCUUUGCAUCAGAUGGGUCAGGUACGUGAGCAGGUGGUUGAGCUUAUCAACCACAUGGGUUUUCAUGUUCGUUCUGCUCAGCCAUGGAUUUCUGGAGUGGGUUUGUUUGAGGUCAGAGAUGCUGGCGAGCGUUUUGCUUUGAUUCAACUACCUCCUCAAGAUCUUGGUCAGGAUAGAUUUGUUCGUUUUAUGAAGCAUGACCAUGGCGAGGGUUUUCGUGGGGUUCAAGGUUUUCGUGAUGGAUGUCUGAUGUUCUUAGGUGUCCCCCUGGAUCUCCGUAAUACUGAGAAUCUCAGGGCUGCUGUUAAUACCUUUGGAAAGUUCCACCAUUGGAUUAGUGACGAUCCAUAUCUUGUCAGAUCUAUUGUGUUUGCCUCCUUCCCUGAGGAUAUCCUGGUUCCUAGGGACGUGGUGUUUUCUGAUUAUGCUGCCUGGGGUGGUGCUAAAGUUUCUUGGACAGCGCCGUGUUACAUCCUAGGAGCUAAUUUUGCUGAGCGAAUGCCGCAAGAUGAAGAUCCCAUGCCUAUUGACGGCAAUCCUCACCCCCUGCCUGGUCACUUAAUACAUGAAGAUAAUCUCUUUGCUCUUCCGCCUUAUCCAGCUCUUGGGUGGAACGACAUGCCGCCUCCCCCGCCUCCCAUGCAUAAUCAGGGCGGUGGCUGGGGCUGGCAUGACAAUGAGCAGGAUGCCCAGGAGGAUGCAGUGCAAGUUGAGCCCGUUCCUGAUUAGGAGUCUAUGGUCAUUAACCAGCAGGAUUUCUCGGGCUCUAUUGGCUAGUCGGAUAGUCAAGUUCAGGCUGAUCCUCCCUUACAUGAUGUGGCGAUUGUGCAAGAUCCUCCAGCUGUAGUUGUGCAAGUUCCUGUUGAUAAUGGAAAUGUUGCUUUGGCUGCCCAGCCUGACGUUGCACCAGUGGAACCAGUUCUCGUUGAGGGUGGUCUUCAGAUUGGUAUUCAGCCUGCUAUGGAAGUGGAUGAAAAUGUCAUUCAGUUAGGUGAGCCACCCGUUGAUCCUGAUGCAUUGGCUAUAGUGCCGUACCAGCCACCUGUGUUUCCACAGCAAGAUCUUGUUGUUGGACGAGUUCAUGUUGUUUAUGGCCCGCCUUUGCCUCCUGAGAUGGCCUGGAGGCGUACUUUCGAUACUCUUUUGGGGCGCUGCUCUUCUCUUCAGGUUCCAAAGCCAGUCCUACAGUCUUCUUUUGGGUCACUGCUCCUUUCCAAGAGAUCGUGGUCCCUGGCUUUAGAGAAGGUCCAUUGGGUGUCAGAUUUUACCACUGAUGAUUCGGCUAGCAUGGUCGCCCCUUUGUCUACUCUCCCACCUUCCAGGGGACUUGCUCGGGCUCUGUUUCCUGACAGCCAGAUGGAGUUGGAGCACGACCCAGGCCUGCAGUUUGCGACUGCCCCUGAUGAGCAGUUCUCUUUUUCUGCUCCUUCUAUGAAGAAGAAGAAGGCCUCCAAGCGUGGUCGUCCUCCAGUCGUGGACUCUGAACUGCGCCGCUGCACCCGUAGCUCUGCAAGACGGGAUGGUUUCAAGCCUGUGCUUCAAGCCUUGCCUAUGACUGAACCUAAGAAGAAGAAGCCCCGUUCCAUGCCUCUGAUCGAUGAUGAUUCUGCCCAUAGCAUGCCCUCAGUGCCACCUCCAACACCUCUUUGUCAUAUUCAGCAAAUUGGAGCGGAACUGGGGAUCUUUGCUGAAAAGCUCACUGUGGAUGCGCUUAUGGCGGAUCCUUCUUCUGCCAAGGACAAAUCUUCUCAUGAAUAGCUCGGGCUGUGCAAGCGGGGUGUGGUCGACCCAUAACUGGACUAGUUAUCGUAGGAUUUAUCUAAAUACUUUGUCUCUGGGACCUGUAUGCUUUCAUUGUCUUUGCAAACUUCUGUUGUUUGGCUUUGCUGCAUGUCUGAAAUGCUCUUUGUGCUGCCUGCUAUGUGGGCAUGCUGUUAAAGUUGUAAACGCUAUGUUCCAUGGAUAUUCGGUCUACUAGAAGUUGGCGUGUUAUGUGUUGGAAUGUUCGGGGCCUAAAUUCUGAUGACCGUCAGCAUGCUGUUCGUAACAAGGUGGAUGAAAGUCAGGCUUCUGUUAUCUGUCUGCGGGAAACGAAAAUGGAGUGUAUUGACUCCAGAACCGUCAGAAAAUUUUGCCCUCGUCGUUUUGAUUCUUUUGUUUAUAGCCCUUCUGUUGGGGCUUCGGGCGGCAUUGUUGUGUUGUGGAACUCCUCUGUCCUUACAGGGAGAUUAAUUGAGGUCAAGCAGUUUGGCGUUGUUGUGCACUUUACUUCCAAACACAACAAUGAGCAAUGGACGUUGGUUAAUGUUUAUGGGCCAUGUCGUGGCCAGGCCAGGGAUGAUUUUGUGGACUGGCUAUAUAAUCUCUCCAUCCCUGACUCUGAAAAUUGGCUUGUUUUGGGAGACUUUAAUUUUAUUAGAUCCACUGAGAACAGAAAUCUCCCUGGUGGCGAUGCUAAUGAUAUCUUCAUUUUUAAUGAGAUUAUUGGGCACCUUGGCUUGCUUGAGUUACCUAUUAAGGGGAGAUCUUUCACUUGGUCCAAUAUGCAGGAUAAUCCUCUACUAGAGCAGCUCGAUUGGUUUUUCACUUCCUCAAACUGGAUCUCUUGUUACCCCUCCACCCAGGUGUUGCCCCUGGCCAGGACUGCUUCAGAUCAUGUGCCUUGUGUGGUGGCCAUCAACACUUCCAUCCCUAACUGUAAUAUCUUUCAUUUUGAAAAUUACUGGGUGGAGCUGCAGGGUUUUAUGGACUAUUUGUCUGCUUCAUGGGCUACUGCUUCCAGCAAAACCAACAUCUCGGGCAAGAUUGCUGACAAAUUUAAAACCUUGAGGAGGGAUCUUAAGAGUUGGCACAUGAAUGUUUCCAAAAUGAAAAUAUUAAUUGCUAAAUGUAAUAGGGUGGUUCUCAUUUUGGAUUGCUUGGAGGAAUUGAGGCCACUUUAUAGACAUGAGUUCAACUUUCAUAAUCUGGUCAAGUUGCACUUGGAGCAUCUGCUGCACCUUCAAUUUCUGUAUUGGAAGAAGAGGUGCACUAUAAGAUCUAUUAAAGUGGAAGAGGAGAACACUAAAUUCUUUCAUGCUAUGGCUUCUGAAAGAUUUAGGCAUAACUCCAUUGCUUCUCUGCGGUUGGAUGAUGGUACAAUUGUGUCUGAUCAUGAGCAAAUGGCUGUUGCUCUCUGGCAAAACUUCAAAAAUAGGAUGGGAACUAGUCAUGGUAUUGAAAUGUCUUUUGAUCUUUCCUCAAUUUUACACAGAGUUUGGGGCCUUGACUCCCUCAUUAAGAUGUUCUCCAAGGAGGAGAUGGAUAAUACUGUUAAGAGCAUGCCCAUUGAUAAGUCUCCUGGGCCAGAUGGCUUUAAUGGACUCUUUUUUAAAAAGUGUUGGCCUAUAAUUAGUAAGGAUUUCUGUGAGUUGGCUUCUGCUUUUUAUGAGGGGUCUGUAAAUCUGGAGAACAUCAAUUAUUCUUAUAUCACCCUGGUCCCUAAGAAGAGAUCUCCUUAGUCUGUUAAUGAUUUUAGGCCUAUCUCUCUUUCUGGUAUGGGGGUGAAAUUCCUUUCUAAGAUGGCUGCUAACAGGCUGCAGCUAGAUAUCAUAAGAUGUUUGCAUAAAAACCAAUAUGGUUUUAUCAAGUCCAGAACCAUUCAGGACUGUGUUGCUUGGACCUUGGAAUAUUUGCACCAGUGCCAUCAGUCAAAGAAGCCUAUUGUCAUCCUCAAGCUGGAUUUUGAGAAAGCUUUUGACUCUAUUGAACAUGAGGCCAUUUUCCAAAUUUUGAGGCACAAGGGUUUUAAUGAUAAGUGGAUUUCCUGGGUUAAACAGUUUCUGGCUUCUGGAACCUCUUCUGUCCUGCUGAAUGGAGUUCCUGGAAAACAAUUUGCUUGCAAAAGGGGGUUAGGCAGGGUGACCCUCUUUCCCCACUUCUGUUUGCCAUUGCUGCAGAUCUGUUGCAAUCAAUAGUCAAUGAUAUGCACCAUAAAGGUCUUCUUCAGCUUCCUAUUCCUUUCCAUGAUAAGGAAUAUCCAAUUAUCCAGUAUGCUGAUGACACCCUCAUUAUUAUGCCUGCUGAGGAAUCUCAGUUGCUCUCAUUGAAGAAAAUGCUCUUCCUUUUUUCUAAGUCCGCUGGAUUGCAUGUUAACUAUCACAAGUCAUCCCUACUUCUAUUAAUGUGGAUUCAGUGGAGAUUGCUAGACUUGCUGGUGUUUUUGGUUGUGUGGUUGGCACCCUACCUUUUACUUAUCUUGGCCUUCCUGUGGGAAUUACAAAACCCAAGAUCUUGGACUUAAUGCCUCUGGUUGAUAGUAUGGAAAGGAAGCUCUCUGUUAGCUCCUCUUUCCUUGCUCAUGGAGGAAGACUGCAGUACCUGAUAUCUGCCCUUUCUUCUGUGCCAAUUUUCUUCCUGUGUAGUCUGGACUUGCCUCCUGGUAUUUUAAAGCGGCUAGAGAGAAUUCAGAGGCAGUGUCUUUGGAGGAAGUAUGGUCACGAUUCUGGUCAGUCACUAGCAGCUUGGGGUUUGGUUUGUAGACCAGAGAACAAAGGUGGCUUGGGUAUUUUGAAUCUGAAGUUGCAGAAUGAGGCUCUGCUCCUUAAACAUGCUAGCAAAUUCUACAAUAAAGUUGAUGUGCCCUGGGUUCAACUCAUCUGGAAUACUUACUACCAUGGUAGGGUUCCUCAUGCCACCAUCAUUUGUGGUUCUUUCUGGUGGAGGGAUAUAUGCAAGUUAAUGGAUAAAUUCAGGAUGGUCAAUGCAGUGCAUGUUAAUAAGGGUGACACUGUCCUCUUUUGGUCUGAUUCUUGGACAUUGGGGGACACUAAUAUUCCUCUUGAGCAAAGGUUUGCUAGGCUUUUUUCGUUUGCUAUUGAUCCCCUUAUCUCUGCUCCGGAGGUUUUUGAAUCGACUGAGCUCACCUCUUUAUUCCAUUUACCCCUUUCUGAGAGAGCUUUUGGAGAGCUGCGAUCUUUGCAAAACCUUCUUUUGCUUUCUGACCAUAAUCCUCAGCUCAAUGACACAUGCACUACAGGAAUCAGCUAUUUUGCCGUCUGCCACGGCGGACGGCAAAGGCAUGAACGGUGGACGGCAAAAGGCUCCGGCAAAGUAGGCUACGGUAAACAGCUACUUUGUUGUCUGCUUCCUGGCGGCUGACGGCAAAGGCCCUUUGCCGUCUGCGGCGGACGGCAAUAAUUGCGCUGUCAGUCCGUUAAGUGGCUAACGGCAGGCCUUUGCCGUCCGCCGCUGACGGCAAAAUUUCUAGUGUCUUUGCCGUCCGCCGUAUGAUGUCAUCUACACGUCACUACAUGGCAGGUUCUUUGCUGUUCGCCACUGAUGGCAAAGUCUUUGCCGUCUGCCACUGUAGGCAAACUGACCAAAUGGGUCAGCUCCCAGGAAGCACAGCUGGAUGCCACGUGUCUUCUUUGCCGUCCGCGGCAGACGGCAAAGAGCCCGUUGCCGUCGGUGGCAGACGGCAAAGAGCCUGCCAUGUUGGCUCUUUUAUCUGUUUUUUAUUAAAUCCAACAAUUUUCAUCACAAAUAUAUAUGACAUAUAUAGAUAUAUUUCAAAAGGCCAUUACAGAGCAAACAUAUAAGAUAUCCACCACAUAACUUCAUCAUCCAACCAUAUAUAUUACAUGCAUAGUUCCAUCAUACAUAACAAGUUCAACAUAGAGGCAUCCAACCAUAUAUAUUACAAUAGUUUCAUCCAACGAUACAUGCAUAGUUCAACGAUACAAAAGAAACAGAGAAAGGGAUAAGGAGCACUCCAUCUAUGCAAGCUUUCGUCAAGUGAAUGAAAUCUGCAAAAUGAAAAAUAAGAAAGUUAGAACAAGAAGAAGAGUAGAACAAGAAGAAGACUAGAACAAGAAGAGUAGAACAAGAAGAAGACUAGAACAAGAAGAGUAUGUCAUUUAUGAGCUAACUUACGUGAAAUGGAUCAUAUAUGAGCUAACUAAGUUGAAAUGGGUUGUUUAUGAGCUAGCUAAGGUGAAAUGGAUCAUUUAUGAGCUAACUUAGUUGAAAUGGGUCGUUUAUGAGCUAACUAAGGUCAAAUGGAUCAUUUUUUAGGUAACUAAGGUGAAAUGGAUCGUUUUUAGCUAACUUAGGUGAAAUGGAUCAUUUAUGAGCUAACUUAGUUGAAAUGGAUCGUUUUUGAGCUAACUUAGGUGAAAUGGAUCAUUCAUGAGCUAAUUUAGUUGAAAUGGAUCUUUUUGAGCUAACUUAGGUGAAAUGGAUCAUUUAAGAGCUAAUUUAGGUGAAAUGGAUCGUUUUUUAGCUAACUUGGUGAAAUGGAUCGUUUAUGAGCUAAAUUAGUUGAAAUGGAUCGUUUAUGAGAUAACCUAGGUAAGAUGGGUCAUUUUGGAGUUAACCUAGGUGAAAUGGGUCAUUUUAAAGCUAACGUAGGUAAAAUGGAUCAUUUAGGAGCUAAUCUAGGUAAAAUGGGUCAUUUUUGAGCUAACUUGGAUGAACUGGAUCAUUUAUAAGCUAACCUAGGUAAAAUGGGUCAUUUUAGAGCUAACUUAGGUAAAAUGGAUCGUCUAUGAGCUAACUAAGCUAAUUAUGCAAUUUUUGACAUAAGUAAGCUAAGUACAGAUCGUUUUAGAGCUAACUUAGGUAAAAUGGAUGGUUUUGGAGGUCAGUAAGCUUAUUAAGUCAUUUUGGAGGAGAAGAAGCUAAGUCUAGGUCAUUAUGGUAAGCAUUGGAGGAAAUAAAGCUAAGUCUAGGUCUUUAUGCAUGUGUUAAGCAAAACACUAGAUAAACUUACCAAGAUCCAGGAGGUGUAGGAGCGGGGUGGCUCGUGUCGGUAGAUGGAGAAGGAUCGUGCAAUGCUUGUCUGGAGUUACGCUGCACCAAAGAUCAUUUCCAAUGUCUUGUUAGCAUGAUGACACUCAAAUGUUAAGACUAGCAAGUAAUGUCCAUUCAAAUAAAACUCACCGUGGUCCUAGGAGCAAUCACUGGCAUCGGCGGAGCGGUCUGGCCUGUCUUCUCGCACACAGACUGCACAUUUGGUUUUGACGACUCAGCCAUACUAGUUAGUAAUGACACAAACACUACAUGAAUGUUUUGGCUAAUCUGCAGAAGAAACUUACCACAAGGAGCUCGUACAUGGCCCUUGCCUGCAUGUCAUUCCGUGCCCUCUCCUCCUCCAUCAUCUUUGUCGUCCUCUCCUCCAACUCCCGCUGCCUCUCCGCCGCCUCCGCCAGAAGUUUCUCCUUUCUAUCUCUCUCACUCUGUAUAGCAGCCUGCAACACCACUCACAUGACCAUUUGUAAUCAUUGAUGGAAGCGCACACAAUGUAAUUAAUGGAGAAAGAUAACUGAGUACGUAUCACUAACCUUGAUGGCGAGUUGCACUGGCCGUUCACGAGGCCUUAUCUCAGGAGCGGAGCUCGACUGGCGUGCCUUGAUCUCCAGGAGAGUGCUAGGACAACGGAUAAGUCCAUCUCCAAUGGCUAUGGAGCCAUGGGACCUCCCGCCACCAUAUAUCAUCACCAGCUCUGGAUCAAUGGGACCCUGGCUCGGGUUAAAGUCCUCCCCUUUCCUCGCCUUCCCCUCAUCUCUAUAUCUCACGAGCUUGUUGUGGGAGGAGAUGUUGGUGAAGUUGUUUGCAUCAUCGAGGUCAGACUGAGAGAAAGCCUUGACUUUCUUGAAAGAGGCAGUGUGGGCCAUGGCAUACAGGUCGUAUACCUUCGGUACCUUAUCCGCCUUAUUGUAGCGUGCCUGAAAGAGAGAAACAAUGAAAAUUAGUAAUUAAAGGGCUCAAGCUAGCAUGAUGAAUGAAUUGCAUGAAUCAUGAAGCAAAUCACAUACCCAGUUGCGCCCGAACUGAUAUAAGUUGGAGCUGCCUUGAUGGUGUGGAACACCUUCCAUUUGGGCACGUUUGUCCUUGGCCUCGUUGUGGAGGGCUAGCCAUUGUUUUGAGCACCACUCAUCGACCAACACCUCCCAACAAUCCAUCCGAUCCGCACACCAUCUCGGAGGCGCCUAAGUUAGCAAAUAGAAACUUGAGCGCUACGGCUAAGAAUUACUAAAUGAAGGAACUUAAGUAGAGAAGGCCUUAAGAAUUACCUUCAUGUACUGCUCCUUACUCAGGAACUUAUCGCGGCACGCCGGCUUGGUCUUCUUGAUCCCAUGCAAGGCGUAGUAGUCUCGAACAGCCUGCACCCGAGCCUCGUGCCGUAAGUUCUGGAGUAGGCGCUUGCAGACGUUCUCGAUAACAUGUGCCGCGUCCUCCUCGUAUCCCUCCUCACACCUGUAGAAUGUCUGCAAUCAAAUGAGACAAUAUUGAUUAGUACAAUUAAUAACUAGCUAGUUGAAGAUUUUUAAAUGUGUAAAGGAGAAAUUACCCAGAACUUUCUGAUCACCAUGUCUGCCCUCGUGUCGCACACGACACCGUCGAUAAUCUCAUCCGGCGGGGCCGGGGCAGCCAUGUAGUGCUCCCAGCUCAAUCCAAGCUCUGGAAGCCGACCCUCACCAGGCAACGUGACAAAUCCCGGGAAGUUUUGCCGGCAAAGAACUCCAAGGACGGAGUUGGGCCGGCGGACACUAUGAUGGUGGUCCCAACCCCUGCAGCAUGACAAGGCCAACGCAUUAGUUAUUUGAAGAAACGUGAAUGCAGAAGGUACAAAAAUAUUAAAUGCACUUACGUGCCUCUCCCCAUCAGGGAAAAUCAACCACCUCUGCUCGCGGGUCACCGGCACGGACGGGAGCCGUGUAGCACCACGCUGGUAGACGUUGCCCCCCUCCUCCCCCUCCUCAUCAGUCGGCUCCCCGCCAUCAUCAGCAUGGCCACUCGGCUCCCCGCCAUGCUUAGGCUGACCCGGCUAGGUACCCCAUCCAGACAUGUGCUCCUCCGGGUCUCAUGGGCCAAAGGCACGUCGCCCCGAGGCUCGUGGGCCGAAGACUCGUGGACCGGAGUCCGUGCAGCCUCCUCCUCAGACGAGUCCACCCUAGCAGUCACGUGCUCGGGUGAAACAGCUGGGGGUGGCGGCGAGGAAGGCGCCCUAGCAGUCACCGUACGUCCUCUCCCGCGACCACGUGCUCCAGCUCCUCUCUUCUUCUUACCUUGUCCCCUGCUAGGCACCGCGGUCGACGAAGAAGGGCCCGGCGGUGUCGCCAUACUGUCCAGCAACGCUCGGCAGAGAGGUGCGUGUGGAAUGGAAGACCUCGCACCACACGCCGACGAAGAAGGGGCCUCGGCGCGCUCCCGACCAGCACCCACCAUCUUUCAACACCUGCCAUGACAAAGAAUAAACGAAAUUAGUACAACAUAAAAAAAGUACCAACAUGAAUAAUAAUAUGCAUAUCACUUAAGUGUAUCAUCAUCAAGUACAACAUAAAAAAAUUGAAUACCUGACACUACUAAUAAUCUCGAUCAGUAUCAUCAAUAAAUGCAUAAUCAUCAUCAUCACUAUAAUCAAUGAUGGGCUCAUAGGGUUCAUUGGCAUCAACAUGUGCAAGGCCACCUUGACGUAAUCGGUCAAGCAUUGACAGGUCAUCCGCAGCAGUAACCUCUUCUUGUUCCGGCUCUUCUUGUUCCUCCUCUGGGGUGAUGUCGUAUUCAUUGUCGCUGUCUACUUCAAUGUUUUGGGGUGAAGUAUAGCGGUUCUUGAAACGCUUUUUGGAAAGACGUGUCUCUUGGAAGAAUUCUCCUUCAUAUGUGUCUAGGUUAAUGUGAGGUUCAUAAUCCUCUUCCUUUGGGGGAGAAAGUCUAGCACGUGGCGGCACUUCAUAAACGACAUCCCAACCUUUCAGAUUUGGAUAAGUUUGGCAGGCCCACGGUAGAUAGAAUACUUGGGUCGCCUGUUGAGCCAUAAUAUAGACAUCAUGAACAUCUAAAUGAGUGCUUUGGUUGAUUUCAACUAGCCCUAUAUGUUCAUGAGUCCUUCUAGUCUCCUUCGGCUGAAACCAAUAACAUUUGAAGACUACGACAUUCGGUGGGUUUUCACCAUAGAACAGAAGUUCAUAAAUUGCUUCAACUCUCCCAUAAUACUCGGUACCUCCUUCGCCGAUAGCAGAUACACAACAAUUUGUAGACUUUCAGUCGGCCAUAGAUAGCUCUUUGCCAUAGGUACGAAAGCGAUACCCGUUGAUGUCGUACUUGUCAAAUGAACGGACCUUAUAGUCAAAACCAUUAGCGACUUGUCUCAAUUCGGCGUCCAUAGACUCUGAAUUAGCCUACAAGUUUAAUAUGAAAGGAUUGUUGCAUUAUGCACAAAUUAGCGAAUGAAAUGAAAUUGUCUAAUAGAAAUUACCGUUUGUUUGAACCAAGAGAUGAAACCGGGAUAGCCACCUCCUUUCUUUGCGAGAAGCUCAUACUCUUCAAUGGAAUCCUUUUGGAUCUCCGCUCCAUACGAGAAUAUGGCGACAUAUCGACUGUAUGACAUAUCCAGGAAUAAGAGUAGUUCAAAGGAAAUAGAAGUUGCGAAACAAUGUACCGAGAACUUACUCGAUGUACGGCCGCACUUCUAUCAGGUUGUUGAAGAUAUACAACGAAAUGGUCCGCCAUUCUUCGUUAUCCAAAGAUACUGGAUGUGAAACACUAGCUGGUGCGAGAUUCCCUUUGAAUAGGCUGAGGUUGGAUCCACCCUUUUUAGGCUCGUCAGCAUUGUACCGAGGCUUCGGAUUAUGCAAAUGACGAUUUUUGGCUUCGUAGUGCGCUGUUACAAAGUUUGCCGCCUCCUCUGUGAUGAAUGCCUCAGCCAUCGAUGCUUCAAUUCUACGUUUAUUUUUACACUUUUCUCGAAGCGUCUUCUGCAUCCUCUCAGUUGGGUAGCACCAAUGAUUUUGCACGGGCCCCCCAAUCUUGCCUCGGUUGGGAGAUGCAAAAUCAAAUGCUGCAUUGGAUUAAAGAAGCCCGGUGGAAAGAUCUUCUCUAACUUGCAGAUCAACUCCGGCGCCAACUCUUCCAUUUCUUCUAGCACGCCAGGCGAUAGUUCUUUCGCACAAAGAACACGGAAGAAAUAGCUGAGUUCUGCCAGUACUAGCCAUUCAUCCUCAGGGAUGAAGCCACGCAACAUCACCGGCAUUAACCGCUCAAUCCAUAUGUGCCAAUCAUGACUCUUGAGACCAAAUAUCUUCAGUUUAUCAAGAUUCGCUCCCCUCUUUAGAUUUGCUGCAUACCCAUCGGGGAACAUCAACUGCUGUUGCACCCACAAGAGAAUUUCCCUCAUAGCUGGCCUUCCAAGAUUGAACCAUGCUUUUGGCUUCGUCCAGUUCUGCUUUCCUUUCGGUUCUUUCAUGUUUUGUAACGGCCUAUCACAUAGCGCCUCCAGAUCGACUCUAGCCUUAGUAUUAUCCUUUGACUUCCCAUCUAUGCCGAACAAUGUACCAAAAAGUGCCUCGGCGAUAUUCUUCUCAGUGUGCAUCACGUCGAUGUUGUGUGGGCAAAGGAGGUCUUUGAAGUAAGGCAGAUCCCAUAAGCAUGUUUUGUGAGUCCACGCGUGCUUAGUAUUAUACCCCUUGAAGUACCCUGGACGUUGUGGAUCUGGCUCGAGAGCGUUUAACUGAUCCAGGGUCUGUUGGCCUGUCAAUGCAGGUGGUGCAGAGUUUUUGACAACUCUACCCCUGAUCAAGUUCUUCUUGUCUUUCCUGAACUUAUGGCGAGGAUCCAGGAACUGUCUAUGCAUGUCAAAGCAAGAAAACUUGCGACCGGCCAGAAGCCAACGAAACUCAAGAGCUCCCUUGCAUGUGGGGCACGGGAACCUUCCAUGCACACACCAGCCAACGAAUAGCGCAUACGCCGGCAAGUCAUGCGUCGAGUACAUGUACCAGACACGCAUUAUGAAGUUCCGUUUGCUAAAGGCAUCAUAUGUCUUGAACCCAUUAUCCCAGGCUUCUUGCAAUUCGUCCUUAAGCGGCUGCAUGUACAGAUUCAUAUUUUUGCCCGGAUAGUUGGGUCCUAGAAUUAUCAACGUCAGGAAAAUGUUCUUUCUUUGCAUAAUCUGUCCGGGGGGGAGACUGAGUGGAAAGACAAAUACGGGCCAACAACUGUAUUGGGCUGCCGUCAUACCAAACACACUGAACCCAUCUGUGCUGAUGCCGACUCGAGGAUGCCUCGGAUCUGCCGCUUUGUCAGCAUGUAAUUCAUCAAACUUUUUCCACGCAACACCAUCCGAUGUGUGUACCAUCAUCAGAUUCCCAUCUGCAUCUAGUUCGGUUCUUUUGCUUGUUUUGUGCCAUGUCAUCUGUCUGGCCGUCUCUUCGACCAUGAAAAGACGUUGAAGUCUUGGUAUGAUUGGCAUAUACCGAAGAACACUAACGGGGAUUUUGGUCUGUGUCUUCUCACCCAUACCGUUGUCUACCACAAUAUACUUGGAAGACUUGCAAAUGGGACAAUAGUUCAAGUCCGCAUAGUCAAGCCUAAAUAAGGCACGUCCUUUCUCACAGGCAUGUAUCUUCUCAUAGGGCACCUUCAGUGCAUGGAGGAUUUUGUCCGACUGGUACAGGUUUGCAGGCAUUACAUGGCCUUUGGGUAGAAAGCGUCCAAAUACUGUCAUAAUUGCGUCAUAGCAUUCUCUGCCCAAGUUGAACUGAGCCUUUAGAGCCAUUACUUGUGAGAUGGCAUCCAACUGACAAAGCUCAGUGUGCUCGUGGAGCGGACGUUUCGAAGACUCCAACAUUUCAUUGAAGGCCUUUGCAGAUUCCUCCAUCUCCUCGUUCGAAUCCCGAGCAUCAUCAUAGCCUUGCACCAUGUUUUCCAUCCUGGUACCAUGCUCGUCGGUGCGACGACGAUCCACCUCAGCUCGGUCACGUUGGGCAGACUCACCAUGAAAUGUCCACACCAUAUAAUCGGGCGUAAAACCACUCUUCUGCAGGUGUUUGCCCAUUUCAGCCUCUGUCUUCUUUUCCCAAUUGCCGCACCGGAAACAGGGGCACCAGGUUUUCUUUUGGCCAUUUGCAAAUGCGGCUUGCACAAACCCCUUAGUUUUUGUGAACCAUUCAGCGCUCCAUUUGUUCUGACCAGUGUGACCGGUAUACAUCCAAGCACGGUCACUCAUCUUGACUUUCAGAGCUACUGGACACACAACAAUUAUAUAUGUAAUUCACCAUGUAUAUAUUCAUUAGUUGAUCUACUUUGUCAAUUUUAUUACGUCCAUGCAACCUACACUCUAAUAGGUAAUGAUAGGUCCUAAUCCCACCCGUGUAUGUGUAGAUUGGGUUCAUUUUCCCAUGCUAUGCUCCGGAUCCGACGCAAAAUUUCGGCAGCACCUCCCCGCUGUUCUCCUGAUACACGUCUCUGCAAUAAACAGAGAGGAUGUGUACCCGGAGAACAAUAGGGGAGGCACUGACGAAAUAUAUGCGUCGGAUCUGGAGCAAAGCAUAUGGGAAAACGAACCCAAUCUACACAUACUCGGGCUGUCCAUGGAUAGCGUUGGACAAUUCGAACGGGAGACACAUAUUUAUAAAUAUGCAAAUGCAUGCAUAUUUAUAACUAUGACGCUUUCGAACGGGAGACACAUAUUGGUUACGCAUACUGAUGAUUCAAGACACAUAUAUAGCUAGCUAUCAAGUUUCAUCGGAAUAGAUCGAAUAAUUAAUGGGGGAGGAGGACUUGUCAUUUGUGCUCACCCACGAACGAAGGGGCAGAGCUCGUCAAACGCACGGCGAGGUCGUCGAACACCAAACCUCGCAGCGAUGAAACAACUGCACAUUUAAAACUACACGAUCAACACAAUUAUAUAUGAUGUUUUUGAUAACAAAAUCGAAAAAUAUAUGACCUAACUAAUAAUUCACAAAUAUAUGACCCCGUCGGCCUCUGGAAGGCCAAAGAACACCUUUUCGGGAGGUGUCGGUGGUCGGGGUGUCCUGUCGGUGUCGGGGUGCCGUGUUGGAGUCGGGGUGCUGUUUCGGGGUCGGGGGGUCGGGGUGUCGUGUCGAUNNNNNNNNNNNNNNNNNNNNNNNNNNNNNNNNNNNNNNNNNNNNNNNNNNNNNNNNNNNNNNNNNNNNNNNNNNNNNNNNNNNNNNNNNNNNNNNNNNNNNNNNNNNNNNNNNNNNNNNNNNNNNNNNNNNNNNNNNNNNNNNNNNNNNNNNNNNNNNNNNNNNNNNNNNNNNNNNNNNNNNNNNNNNNNNNNNNNNNNNNNNNNNNNNNNNNNNNNNNNNNNNNNNNNNNNNNNNNNNNNNNNNNNNNNNNNNNNNNNNNNNNNNNNNNNNNNNNNNNNNNNNNNNNNNNNNNNNNNNNNNNNNNNNNNNNNNNNNNNNNNNNNNNNNNNNNNNNNNNNNNNNNNNNNNNNNNNNNNNNNNNNNNNNNNNNNNNNNNNNNNNNNNNNNNNNNNNNNNNNNNNNNNNNNNNNNNNNNNNNNNNNNNNNNNNNNNNNNNNNNNNNNNNNNNNNNNNNNNNNNNNNNNNNNNNNNNNNNNNNNNNNNNNNNNNNNNNNNNNNNNNNNNNNNNNNNNNNNNNNNNNNNNNNNNNNNNNNNNNNNNNNNNNNNNNNNNNNNNNNNNNNNNNNNNNNNNNNNNNNNNNNNNNNNNNNNNNNNNNNNNNNNNNNNNNNNNNNNNNNNNNNNNNNNNNNNNNNNNNNNNNNNNNNNNNNNNNNNNNNNNNNNNNNNNNNNNNNNNNNNNNNNNNNNNNNNNNNNNNNNNNNNNNNNNNNNNNNNNNNNNNNNNNNNNNNNNNNNNNNNNNNNNNNNNNNNNNNNNNNNNNNNNNNNNNNNNNNNNNNNNNNNNNNNNNNNNNNNNNNNNNNNNNNNNNNNNNNNNNNNNNNNNNNNNNNNNNNNNNNNNNNNNNNNNNNNNNNNNNNNNNNNNNNNNNNNNNNNNNNNNNNNNNNNNNNNNNNNNNNNNNNNNNNNNNNNNNNNNNNNNNNNNNNNNNNNNNNNNNNNNNNNNNNNNNNNNNNNNNNNNNNNNNNNNNNNNNNNNNNNNNNNNNNNNNNNNNNNNNNNNNNNNNNNNNNNNNNNNNNNNNNNNNNNNNNNNNNNNNNNNNNNNNNNNNNNNNNNNNNNNNNNNNNNNNNNNNNNNNNNNNNNNNNNNNNNNNNNNNNNNNNNNNNNNNNNNNNNNNNNNNNNNNNNNNNNNNNNNNNNNNNNNNNNNNNNNNNNNNNNNNNNNNNNNNNNNNNNNNNNNNNNNNNNNNNNNNNNNNNNNNNNNNNNNNNNNNNNNNNNNNNNNNNNNNNNNNNNNNNNNNNNNNNNNNNNNNNNNNNNNNNNNNNNNNNNNNNNNNNNNNNNNNNNNNNNNNNNNNNNNNNNNNNNNNNNNNNNNNNNNNNNNNNNNNNNNNNNNNNNNNNNNNNNNNNNNNNNNNNNNNNNNNNNNNNNNNNNNNNNNNNNNNNNNNNNNNNNNNNNNNNNNNNNNNNNNNNNNNNNNNNNNNNNNNNNNNNNNNNNNNNNNNNNNNNNNNNNNNNNNNNNNNNNNNNNNNNNNNNNNNNNNNNNNNNNNNNNNNNNNNNNNNNNNNNNNNNNNNNNNNNNNNNNNNNNNNNNNNNNNNNNNNNNNNNNNNNNNNNNNNNNNNNNNNNNNNNNNNNNNNNNNNNNNNNNNNNNGCGGCGAGUGGUGGUGGCGGCGGCGCGCGUGUGGGAGCAGGGGAGAGAAACAGAGAGAGAGAGGGGAGGGGUGGGGGGCGCGCCGUUAGAUAUGUUAAAUCUUUGCCGUCCGUCCCCCUUUGCCGUCCGCUUAUUUGCUCUUUGCCGUCUGCUUGCAGACGGCAAAGAGGGGGGCCCGUUAAGUUUUUUUUAAACAGCUCGUCAGUGGGGCCCCUCCCUCUUUGCCGUCUGCUAGCCGACGGCAAAGAAUCUUUACCGUCUGCUAGCCGACGGCAAAGAAUCUUUACCGUCAGCUAGCGGACGGCAAAGAACUGGCUGAUGGCAAAGGCUUUCUUUGCCAUCAACCAGUUCUUUGCCGUCUGCUUUCGGGUAGCAGACGGCAAAGAGCUGGCAGAUGGAAAAGUAGCUGAUUCCAGUAGUGAUGGGUAUGGAAAGAGGACGGCAAGGGAUAUUCUGCCAAGAAAUACUAUUCCUUCUUGCAUAAACACAUUGUGCCCAACCCACUCUUGUCCUGGGUGUGGGCUAGCUGCUGCACUAUGAGGAUCAAGUUCUUUGCUUGGAUGUUGAUUAUGGAUCGGUUGAACACUCAGGAUAUGCUGGAGAGAAGGCACUAGAAUGUUUCUGAAUCAAACCAUUGUGUACUUUGUCCAACGCACACCAAGGAGGAUAGAGAUCACCUAUUCUUUCAAUGUAAUUUCAGUUGUAUGAUUUGAGCCAUUACUUUUGGGAUGACCCACAUCUUUAUAAAGAAGGAGUAGAUGGUGUUAUUAGACGUUGUGUACCUGAGCAUGAACAGGAACAGAUCCUACGCAAGUGCCACUCCGAAGCCUAUGGAAGACACCACACUGGAGAUAGAACUGCACAUAAGGUAUUGCAAUCCAGUUUUUAUUGGCCUACUCUCUUCAAGGGUGCCCGUAAGUUUGUCUUAUCUUGUGAUGAAUGUCAAAGAAUUGGUAAUAUUAGUAGACAUCACGAAAUGCCUAUGAAUUAUUCACUCGUUAUUGAACCAUUUGAUGUUUGGGGCUUUGAUUAUAUGGGACCUUUUCCUGCCUCUAAUGGAUAUACACAUAUUCUAGUUGCUGUUGAUUACGUUACUAAGUGGGUAGAAGCUAUUCCAACUAGUAGUGCUGAUCAUAACACUUCUAUUAAAAUGCUUAAGGAAGUUAUUUUUCUGAGGUUUGGAGUCCCUAGAUAUUUAAUGACUGAUGGUGGUUCACACUUUAUUCAUGGUGCUUUCCGUAAAAUGCUUGCUAAGUAUGACGUUAAUCAUAGAAUUGCAUCUCUUUAUCACCCACAGUCUAGUGGUCAAGUAGAAUUGAGUAAUAGAGAGCUCAAAUUAAUUUUGCAAAAGACGGUUAAUAGGUCUAGAAAGAAUUGGUCCAAGAAACUUGAUGAUGCAUUAUGGGCCUAUAGAACUGCAUAUAAAAAUCCUAUGGGUAUGUCUCCGUAUAAAAUGGUAUAUGGAAAAGCAUGUCACUUACCUCUCGAACUAGAACAUAAGGCAUAUUGGGCUAUUAAAGAGCUCAAUUAUGAUUUCAAACUUGCCGGUGAGAAGAGGUUAUUUGAUAUUAGCUCACUUGAUGAAUGGAGAACCCAAGCUUAUGAAAAUGCCAAGUUGUUUAAAGAAAAAGUUAAAAGAUGGCAUGACAAAAGGAUACAAAAGUGUGAGUUUAAUGUAGGUGAUUAUGUAUUGCUAUACAACUCUCGUUUAAGAUUUUUUGCAGGAAAACUUAUCUCUAAAUGGGAAGGCCCCUACGUUAUCGAGGAGGUCUAUCGUUCCGGUGCCAUAAAAAUCAACAACUUCGAAGGCACAAAUCCGAAGGUGGUUAACGGUCAAAUAAUUAAACAUUAUAUCUCAGGUAAUCCCAUAAAUAUUGAAACCAAUAUUAUUGAAACCGUGACCCCAGAGGAAUACAUAAGAGACACUUUCCAGAACGUUUCAGACUCCGAAAAGGAAUAGGUAUGUGAUACGGUAAGUAAACCGACUCCAAAACAGUUUUUAAGGCAAUAUUUCUCCGUUUUGGAGUAUUUAGAAAAAUAGAAAAAUAAGUAGCAGUCCGGGAAGGACACGAGGGCCCCACGAGGGUGGAGGGCGUGCCUCCCUACCUCGUGAGCACCUCGUGUGCCUUCCGGACUCCGUUUUCUUGCAUGAUACGUAUUUUGGUCGGUAAAAAUUCAUUAUAUAUUCUCCCAAAGGUUUUGACUCCCAUAUCACGUGAAUAUCCUCUGUUCUUGUUUUGGGCUGUUCUCUGUCAGGGUUGUCAAGGCCAGGCAUCAUGUCGUCCCCCUCCUCCAACAAUGGUGACAAAGAUGCUUGGCUAAUGAAGAUAGAGCUGAAGAGGGAAGAACCCAUGGAGAUCAACAAGGAUGAAGGGAUCAAGAAGGCCGCGGAGAACCAAGCUCCGGCAACAGAAGCAAUCCUUCAACUUGAUCACAACCUUCUUACCCCAACUGAGAUCGAAGCUUUCCAGAUGAUUGAGUUAACUCGUAUUCAAAACAAGUAUCUCACAAGUGAAAAUAUUUUGUUGAAGGAGCAUAUCUUUGCACUCAAGGGCAUUAUUCGCAAGCUAGAGGACCUCUUGCGCUCGAUGUGCGACUAUCCAUCACCUCCAUCUUCACCAACAGCAAAGAAGGAGACAUAAUCACAUGGGUAUGGGCACUCCCCUUGGCAACUGCCAAGCUUGGGGGAGGUGCCCCGGUAUCGUAUCACCAUCACAACUCCUAUCUUUACCGUUUUUCUUAGUUCGAUCCUAUUAGUAGUAUCUUGAUCUAGUAGAAUAAAGUUUAUGGCAUGAUCUAGUUUUGAGUUUUGCUUUAUGAUCUCUCUAUGUAAUCGAGUCCGUGAGCUAUAUAUAUAAUAAACAUUAGUGUUGAGUCAAGGGCUUGAUUAUUUUGCCAUGAUCUUGAGUGAAUAAAAGAAAAAGAAGAAAAAUAAUAAAAAGAAACAUAGAGUUCAUAUUGAUCUUAUCGAGAGUAAUGACUUCACAUAGAAAGAGUAUGAUGAUUAAAAGUUGUUGGGAGUUGGCAGACAUAGCUUUGGUCAUCAUUGCAAUUAAUAGGAAGUAAUAAGGAAAGAGAGGUUUCACAUAUAAAUAUACUAUUAUUGACAUCUUUUAUGAUUGGGAGCACUCAUUAAAAUACGACAUGCUAAAGAGUUGAUGUUGGACAAGGAAGACAACGUAAUGAAUUAUGUUUUAUUAUAUCUGAGAUAAAGUAUGUUUUCAUGGAUCCUCUAACAUGUUGAGCUUGCCUUUCCCCCUCAUGCUAGCCAAAUUCUCAGCACCAAGUAGAUAUACUACUUGUGCUUCCAAAUACCCUUAAACCAGUUUUGCCAUGAGAGUCCACCAUAUCUACCUAUGGAUUGAGUAAGAUCCUUCAAGUAAGUUGUCAUCGGUGCAAAGCAAUAAAAAUUGCUCUAAAUAUGUAUGAUUGAUUGGUGUGGGAGAAAUAAGCUUUAUACGAUCUUGUGAUGUGGAAGUAAUAAAAGCGACGGACUGCAUAAUAAAGGUUCAUAUCACAAGGGGCAAUAUAAAGUGACAUUCUUUUGCAUUGAGAUUUUAUGCAUCCAACCAUAAGAGCGCAUGGCAACCUCUGCUUCCCUCUGCGAAGGGCCUAUCUUUUAUUAUUAUCUUCUACCUUAUGCAAGAGUCACGAUGAUCUUCACCUUUCUUUUUUCGUUUUAUCCUUUGGCAAGCCCAGCAUGUUGGAAAGAACAUGAUAUAUAUAUAUAUAUAUAUAUAUAUAUAUAUAUAUAUAUAUAUAUAUAUAAUUGUAUGUAGGGGAGCAUGAGUUAUUAUUGUUGACAUUACCCUUGAGGUAAAAGGUUGGGAGGCGAAACUAUAAGCCCCUAUCUUUCUCUGUGUCCGAUUAAAACUUCAUAACCAUAAGUAUUGCGUGAGUGUUAGCAAUUAUGAAGGACUAGAUGAUAGUUGAGUAUGUGGACUUGCUUUUAAGCUCUGACAUAGACUCUUUCUGAUGUUAUGAUAAAUUGCAAUUGCUUCAAUGACCGAGAUUAUAGUUUGUUGGUUCUCAAUAAAGUUUCUAAUUCAUACUUUUGCAUUGUGAAUAGAUCAUCACUUGAACAUAAGUAAUCAUAUGACAAUAUCUAUAUAUGUUGCUGUUAUGAGAAUAAUCAUGAUGCCUUCAUGUCCGUAUUUUAUUUUUAUCGACGCCUCUACCUCUAAACAUGGGGACAUAUUUAUUGUUAUCGGAUUUCGCUUGAGGACAAGCGAGGUCUAAGCUUGGGGGAGUUGAUACGUCCAUUUUGCAUCAUGCUUUUAUAUCGAUAUUUAUUGUAUUAUGGGCUGUUACUUCACAUUAUAUCACAAUACUUAUGGCUAUUCUCUCUUAUUUUACAAGGUUUACAUAAGGAGGGAGAAUGCCGGCAGCUACAAUUCUGGGCUGGAAAAGGAGCAAAUAUUAGAGACCUAUUCUGCACAACUCCAAAAGUCCUGAAACUCCACGGAAUAUCUUAUAAUAAAUAAUAAAAAAAUCCUCGCCAAAGAUGAAGACCAGGGGGCCCACACCCUGUCCACGAGGGUGGGGGGCGCCCCCCCUAGGGCGCGCCCCCUACCUCGUGGGCCCCCUGGUGGCUCUCCGACGCCCAUCUUCUGCUAUAUGAAGUCUUUCGUCGAGAGAAAAACAGGAGGCAACCUUUUGGGACGAGACUCCGCCGCCACGAGGUGGAACCUUGGCGGAACCAAUCUAGGACUCCGGCAGAGCUGUUCUGCCGGGGACACUUCCCUCCGGGAGGGGGAAAUCAUCGCCAUCGUCAUCACCAACGCUCCUCUCAUCGGGACAGGGCAAUCUCCAUCAACAUCUUCACCAGCACCAUCUCCUCUCAAAACCCUAGUUCAUCUCUUGUAUCCAAUUCUUGUCUCCAAGUCCGGGAUUGGUGCUAGUAGGUCGCUAGUAGUGUUGAUUACUCCUUGUAGUUGAUGCUAGUUGGUUUAUUUGGUGGAAGAUCAUAUGUUCAGAUCUUUUAUGCAUAUUAUUACCCCUUUGAUUAUGAACAUGACUAUGCUUUGUGAGUAGUUACAUUUGUUCCUGAGGACACGGGAGAAGUCUUGCUAUUAGUAGUCAUGUGAAUUUGGUAUUCGUUCGAUAUUUUGAUGAGAUGUAUGUUGUCUAGCCUCUAGUGGUGUUAUGUGAACGUUGACUACAUAACACUUCACCAUUAUUUGGGCCAAGAGGAAGGCAUUGGGAAGUAAUAAGUAGAUGAUGGGUUUCUAGAGUGACAGAAGCUUAAAACCUAGUUUAUGCGUUGCUUCGUAAGGGGCUGAUUUGGAUCCAUAUGUUUCAUGCUAUGGUUAAGUUUACCUUAAUACUUUUGGUGUAGUUGCGGAUGCUUGCAAUAGAGGUUAAUCAUAAGUGGGAUGCUUGCUCAAGUAAGAACAGCACCCAAGCACCGGUCCACCCACAUAUCAAAUUAUCAAAGUACCGAACGCGAAUCAUAUGAACGUGAUGAAAACUAGCUUGACGAUAUUCCCAUGUGUCCUCGGGAGCGCUUUUCCUAUUAUAAGAGUUUGUCCAGGCUUGUCCUUUGCUACAAAAAGGAUUGGGCCACCUUGCUGCACUUUAUUUACUUUUGUUACUUGUUGCUCGUUACAAAUUAUCUUAUCACAAAACUAUCGGUUACCACUUAUUUCAGUACUUGCGGAGAAUACCUUGCUGAAAACCGCUUAUCAUUUCCUUCUGCUCCUCGUUGGGUUCGACACUCUUACUUAUCGAAAGGACUAUGAUAGAUCCCCUAUACUUGUGGGUCAUCAAAUAUGUAGGAGCCAAUAUGGGCAUCCAGGUCCUGCUAUUGGUUAUUGACCAGAGAGGUGUCUCGGUCAUGUCUACAUAGUUCUCGAACCCGUAGGGUCCGCACGCUUAACGUUCGUUGACGAUAUAGUACUAUGAGUUAUGUAUGUUUGUGACCAAAUGUUGUUUGGAGUUUUGGAUGAGAUCACGGAUAUGACGAGGAACUCCAGAAUGGUCCGGAAGUAAAGAUUGAUAUGUGGAUAGUAGUGUUUGAUCUCCGGAAAGGUUCCGGAAUCCAUCGGAAGGGGUUCCGGAUGUUUCCCGAAAUGUUUGGGCACGAGAACACUUUAUCUGGGCCAAAGGGGAAAGCCCACGAGGUAUUUGGAAAGCGCAAAAGGAAGUUUUGCGGAGUCCAGGGUCCAGAUGCCAGGGUCCCUGGCGUCUGGAUCCAGACGCCGGGAACCCUGGCGUCUGGCCCUGGAGUUCGAGAAGGACUCUUGCCUUUCGGGUGAAACCGACUUUGUGGAGGCUUUUGCUCCAAGUUUCGACCCCAAGGCUCAACAUAUAAAUAGAGGGGUAGGGCUAGCACCCAAGACACAUCAAGAAACACCAAGUCGUGUGCCGGCAACCCCGUCUCCUCUAGUUUAUCCUCCGUCAUAGUUUUCUUAGUGCUUAGGCGAAGCCCUGCGAAGAUUGUUCUUCACCAACACCGUCACCACGCCGUCGUGAUGCCGAAACUCAUCUACUACUUCGCCCCUCUUGCUGGAUCGAGAAGGCGAGGACGUCACCGAGCCGAACGUGUGCAGAACUCGGAGGUGCCGUGCUUUCGGUACUUGGAUCGGUCGGAUCGUGAAAACGUACGACUACAUCAACCGCGUUGAUAUAACGCUUCCGCUUUCGGUCUACGAGGGUACGUAGACAACACUCUCCCCUCUCAUUGCUAUGCAUCACCAUGAUCCUGUGUGUGCGUAGGAAAUUUUUUGAAAUUACUAUGUUCCCCAACAAUUACUACCUCCGUCCUGGUUUAUUGGUCCCCUUUGUAAUUUGUGCCAAAUUUUGACCAAAUAUUUAACUAACAAAAUAUUAAUGCAUGUCAACAAAAAUUGUAUCGUUGGAUUUGUAUUUGAACAUAGUUUCCAAUGAUGUAAUUUUUGGUGACAUGCAUGAACAUUUUGUUAGUUAAAUUUAUGGUCAAAAUUUGGCCCAAAAUACAAUGGGACCAAUAAACCGGGACGGAGGUAGUAGUUAUGUAAUGGUUAUGUAUGGAUCUCCCAAAUAUGCUACUUAUUAGUUAUGUAAUGGUUAUGUAUGGAUCUCCCAAAUAUGCUACUUAUUAGUUAUGUAAUGGUUAUGUAUGGAUCUCCCAAAUAUGCUACUUAUCAGUAAUGUAAUGGUAAUGUAUGGAUCUCUCAAAUAUGGUACUUAUUAGUUAUGUAGUGGCUAUGUGGAUCUCCCAAAUAUGCUCAAUGUGAUGAAGGUGGUUAUGAUAUUUUGAUGUUAUUGUUAGGCUGACGAAUCACUUUGGUGGUUUUGUCGACAUCGAGGGACCCUAGACUCACUUUGGUGGUUUUGUUGACGUCGAGGGACCCCAGACUCACUUUGGUGGUUUUGUCAACGCCGAGGGACCGUAGACUCACUUUGGUGGUUUUGUCGACGUCGAGGGACCCUAGACUCACUUUGGUGGUUUUGUCAACGUCGAGAGACUCAUAAACAACUAGCAUCUAUCUUGCUAUGAGUGCAUAAGCAACUAAGAUCAACAUCUAGCGUCAAGUUUAAAGAGCAAAAUAUGAGGCAUAAACAUCCAACAUCAUCAUCAAGUUCAAAGCAACAACAUAAAUGUUGUCAACCAGCAUCAAGUUCAACAGCCAAAAACGACAAUAACCAAGGCAUAUAGUUCAAGCAGCCAACAAGGGUACCAACAUCAACAUCUAGUUCAACAGCCAACAAAGGUACCAACAUCAACAUCUAGUUCAACAGCCAACAAUGGCACCAACAUCAACAUCUAGUUCAGCAGCCAACAAAGGCACCAACAUCUAGUUACCAGAAGCAUAUGGGUAUUCUUUCAUCUUGUAGGAAACAGUCCUCUUCCUUCCAAUCUGUCUUCGAGCCUGAAAUGUUCUCCUAUAGCCUGCAAUAGAGGUAGAGGGUGUACCAGUUGUCGUAUCUUUCUUCCUGGGAGACCUCCUUGGAGGAGCAGUAGGUGCAGUAGCAGCAAGUACAGCUUUCCUUCUUGGAGGAGCAGUAGGUGGAGUAGCAGCAGGUGUGGCAUUCCUGCUUGGAGGAGUAGUUGGUGCAGCUUUCUUCCUAGGAGGAGCAGUACCAACAGCUGUUGUAGAUGGAGAUGGCCUCUUCCUUGUUGGUGUAGCAGCUGUAAAUGAAAUGGUGGUUGAAGCAGAAGCUUGUGACCUAUUUGGCUUCAUUUCAAAAACAAUUAUGAAUUUCAAUUCAGACAGAAUAAUGAAAAUUGAGAUGCUUAGCUAACUUGACGCUGGUUUUUUCUCACUGCAAGAGCUAGCUUUAGGUGCUUGGAGCACACACUGUAUUUAUGCCCUAUGAUAACCCACAAGUAUAGGGGAUCGCAACAGUUUUCGAGGGUAGAGUAUUCAACCCAAAUUUAUUGAUACGACACAAGGGGAGCCAAAGAAUAUUCUCAAGUAUUAGCAGCUGAGUUGUCAAUUCAACCACACCUGGAAACUUAGUAUCCGCAGCAAAGUGUUUAGUAGCAAAGUAAUAUGAUAUUGGUGGCAACGGUAACAAAAGAGUAGUGCAAGCAAUAGUAAAUAUUUUUCGUAAUUUGUAGUGAUUGUAACAGUAGCAGCGGGAAAGUAAAUAAGCGAGAACCAGUAUAUGGAAAACUCGUAGGCACCGAAUUAGUGAUGGAUAAUUAUGCCGGAUGUGGUUCAUCAUGUAACAUUCAUAACAUAGGGUGACACAGAACUAGCUCCAAUUCAUCAAUGUAAUGUAGGCAUGUAUUCCGUAUAUAGUCAUACGUGCUUAUGGAAAAGAACUUGCAUGACAUCUUUUGUCCUACCCUCCCGUGGCAGCGGGGUCCUAUUGGAAACUAAGGGAUAUUAAGGCCUCCUUUUAAUAGAGAACCAGAACAAAGCAUUAGCACAUAGUGAAUACAUGAACUCCUCAAACUAUGGUCAUCACCGGGAGUGGUCCCGAUUAUUGUCACUUCGGGGUUGCCGGAUCAUAACACAUAGUAGGUGACUAUAGACUUGCAAGAUAGGAUCAAGAACUCACAUAUAUUCAUGAAAACAUAAUAGGUUCAGAUCUGAAAUCAUGGCACUCGGGCCCUAGUGACAAGCAUUAAGCAUAGCAAAGUCAUAGCAACAUCAAUCUCAGAACAUAGUGGAUACUAGGGAUCAAACCCUAACAAAACUAACUCGAUUACAUGAUAAAUCUCAUCCAACCCAUCACCGUCCAGCAAGCCUACGAUGGAAUUACUCACGCACGGCGAUGAGCAUAAUGAAAUUGGUGAUGGAGGAUGGUUGAUGAUGACGACGGCGACGAAUACCCCUCUCCAGAGCCCCGAACGGACUCCAGAUCAGCCCUCCCGAGAGGUUUUAGGGCUUGGCGGCGGCUCCUUAUUGUAAAACGCGAUGAUUUCUUCUCUCUGAUUUUUUUCUCUUCGAAAGCAGAUAUAUAGAGUUGGAAUUGGCGUCAGAGGGUUUCCAGGGGGCCCAUGAGGUAGGGGGCGCGCCCCCCACCCUCGUGGACAGGAUGUGGGCCCCCUGGUCUUCAUCUUUGGCGAGGAUUUUUUAUUAUUUUUUCUAAGAUGUUCUGUGGAGUUUCAGGUCAUUCCGAGAAUAUUUGUUUUCUGCACAUAAAACAACAUCAUGGCAAUUCUGCUGAAAACAGCGUCAGUCCGGGUUAGUUCCAUUCAAAUCACACAAGUUAGAGUCCAAAACAAGGGCAAAAGUGUUUGGAAAAGUAGAUAUGGCGGAGACGUAUCAACUCCCCCAAGCUUAAACCCUUGCUUGUCCUCAAGCAAUUCAGUUGACAAACUGAAAGAAAGAAAGAAAGAAAAACUUUUACAAACUCUGUUUGCUCUUGUUGUUGUAACUAUGUCAAGCCAGCAUUCAAGUUUUCAGCAAAGAUCAUAACUAACCACAUUUGCAAUAAUUCUCAGGUCUCAUAAUUACUCAUAUCAAUAGCAUAAUCAACUAGAAAGCCAUAAUAAUAAAUCUCGGAUGACAACACUUUCUCAAAACAACCAUAAUAUGAUAUAACAAGAUGGUAUCUCGCUAGCCCUUUCUGAGAUCGCAAAACAUAAAUGCAGAGCACCUUUAAAGAUCAAGGACUGACUAGACAUUGUAAUUCAUGGUAAAAGAGAUCCAAUCAUAGUCGUACCCAAUAUAAAUUAACAAUGAUGAAUGCAAAUGACAGUUGUGCUCUCCAGCUAGUACUUUUUAAUAAGAGGGUGAUGACUCAACAUAAAAGUAAAUGGAUAGGACCUUCGCAGAGGGAAGCAGGGAUUUGUAGAGGUGCCAGAGCUCGGUUUUGAAAUAGAGAUAAGUUGCAUUUUGAGCGGUAUACUUUCAUUGUCAACGUAGCAACUAAGAGAUGGCGAUAUCUUCCAUGCUAAACACAUUAUAGGUUGUUCCCAAACAGAAUGGUAAAGUUUAUACUCCCCCUCCACCAACAAGCAUCAACCCAUGACUUGCUCGAAACAACGAGUGUCUCCAACAUACAUCAGGUCCCAGGGGGAGUUUUGUUUGCAAUUAAUUUUGAUUUAGUUUGCAUAAAGCAUGGGACUGGGCAUCCCGGUGACCAGCCAUUUUCUCGUGAGUGAGGAGCGGAGUCCACUCCUCUUGACAAUAACCCGCCUAACACGGAAGAUAAGGGCAGCCUUGGUUGAUACAUGAGCUAUUCAAGCAUACAAAACAGAAUGUUUAUUUGAAGGUUUAGAGUUUGGCACAUACAAAUUUACUUGGAACGGCAGGUAGAUACCGCAUAUAGGAAGGUAUAGUGGACUCAUCUGGAAUAACUUUUUGGUUUAAGGGAUUGGAUGCACAAGCAGUAUUCCCGCUUAGUACAGGUGAAGGCAAGCAAAAGACUGGGAAGCGACCAACUAGAGAGCGACAACAGCCAUGUACAUGCAUUAAAAUUAAUAAACAUUGGAUGCAAGCAUGAGUAGGAUAUAAUUCACCAUGAACAUAAAUAUCAUGAAGGCUAUGUUGAUUUGUUUCAACUACAUGCGUGAACAUGUGCCAAGUCAAGUCACUUAAAUCAUUCAAAGGAGGAUACCACCCCAUCAUACCACAUCAUAAUCAUCUCAAUAGCAUGUUGGCACGCAAGGUAAACCAUUAUAACUCAUAGCUAAUCAAGCAUGGCACAAGCAACUAUGAUCUCUAAUUGUCAUUGCAAACAUGUUUAUUCAUAAUAAGCUGAAUCAAGAACGACGGGCUCAUCAUAUUUACAAAAACAAAAGAGGUCGAUUUCAUACCAUCUUUUCUCAUCUCAGUCAGUCCAUCAUAUAUGUCAUCAUAAUUGCCUUUCACUUGCACGACCGAACGGUGUGAAUAAUAAUAAGAGUGCACGUGCAUUGGACUAAGCUGGAAUCUGCGAGCAUUCAAUAAACAGGAGAAGACAAGGCAAUAUGGGCUCUGGGUUAAUUUAACAAUAAUGCAUAUAAGAGCCACUAUAACAAUUUAAUUAUGGUCUUCUCCUAUCGACCCCCAAAGAAAAGGAAAGAAAAUAAAACUAUUUACACGGGAAAGCUCCCAACAAGCAAAAGAAGGACAGGAAAUAUUUUUUGGGUUUUCUUUUUAAUUACUACUGCUACAACAGUAAAAUAAACUACUACUAAUUUUUUUUGUUUUUCUUAAGGUUUAACAACACACAAGAAGAAAGCAGGAAAAAGAAAAUAAACUAGCAUGGAUAUUACAGUGAAAAAGUAUGAGCAUCAACAUCUAGAAAUGAGUGUGUGUGAACAUAAAUGUAAUGUUGGUGAGAAAUACGUACUGUUGGUCUAUUGCCAGGGAUAGCCUGGCGGAUACCCGUAAGUGUAGCUGGGGUCGUACUGCGACGAAGAAUAACUGGGAUCAUACUGUGAUGCAGCGGCUAUCACCUGCUGAGCUGCAGCGUGGAGUCGGGCUGCCUCCGCUCUCCUCUCGUAUUCAUCUGCCUCCUCUCUGGUAAUAGUAUAUAUUCCUUUUGUCUGUGAAUCAAAAAGGGUAGGAGCAGGGAGAGUAAUACGGACAACAUGCCGUUUUUAAAAAAUUAAACGAUAUAAAAGAGGUGAUUCGGGCCUCUCGACAAAAUGAUGUGAAGCCAUGGAGUCAUAAUCUAAAUAUGCAGGGGGCAACUCCGUAUCACCCUCACGGAUGUCUAUCUCAAGAAAAUUGGCUAAGCGGGUUGCAUAAAUUCCUCCAAAGAAAUCUCCAUUAUGUCUAUUAUGAUGCAACCUACGAGCUACAAUGGCUCCCAUAUGAUAAGAUUGGUCUCCUAACACAACAUUCCUGAGAAUGCUGAGAUCAGGGACACACAUGUGACAUGCUUCAUCCUUAGCAUUUAUACAUCUACCUAUGAAGAAAGCAAGAUAAUGUAUAGCAGGAAAGUGAAUGCUCCCUAUGGUAGCUUGCGUUAUAUCUCUAGAUUCCCCCACAUUUAUACUAGCAAGAAAGCUUCUAAAUUCAGAUUUAGGGGGAUCCCUAAUACUGCCCCAAGAUGGAAGUUUGCAAGCAGAAGUGAAAUCCUCUAAGUCCAUGGUAUAAGAUUUGUCAUAAAGAUCAAACAUGACUAAAGGAGAAUUACGCGAAGAUGAAUACUCAAACCUCCUCACAAAUGUACUUGUGAGAUCAUGAUACUGGGGGCAUUUGUUAGCCUCAAAAUCCUCAAGACCGGCAUUGCGCAAAUAUGAUUUAAAUUCUUCUUUAAUUCCCGCGCGAUCCAUAAAAUUUUCCGACGGCCAUUCGCAAGGCCGCACUAGAGCGUCUCUUGGUGGAUCUUCAUCAGCAUCACACAUAGCAAUCCUGGGUCCUUGCUUCUUAGAAGAACCACCUUGGAACAUCUUCCUAAGCAUUAUUGUUUUUCUCUAAAAAAUUCUGAAAUUUUUAGUAACUUCAAACAAAAGUGAACCAACCUCAAUAAAACUGAUAGCAACUACUCCUACAAGUGCCUAGAGCCUAUAUCAAGCAUUAGAACUACUUGGAACCAUAUAAAUUUGACAUGCAAGCUCAAGAACAUGGUCACCUAUGCAGCACAAAUUUGCAAAGAAUAAAGCACUAGAACAAAAACUAAUUGGACCAAUGGAGGAGUCACAUACCAAGGAACAAUCUCCCCAAACAGUUUUGCGAGAGGUGCUUUGAGCAAGGAGAUCGAAAAUCACAGCAAAAGUGGCUGGAACUCGUGCUUGAGUUGGUUUUUCGGGUUUGUGUGAGACAGAGGAAGAAGAUGUGUGCUGGGAUAAGUGGAGGAGGGCCACUGUGGGCCCACGAGGCAGGGGGCGCGCCCUCCACCCUCGUGGCCAGGUGGCAGCUCUCCCCGCGGUAAUUUUUGCACAGUAAAUCCUCAAAUAUUCCCGAAAAAAUCAUAUUAAAUUGGCAUGUCAUUCUGAGGACUUUUAUUUUUCGGAUAUUUUUAUAUUGCACGGAUAAGCCAAGAAACAGACAAAGAAAUACUAUUUUUACUUUAUUUCUACUAAAUAACAGAAAGUAUAGAAGGGGUACAGAAGUUUGUGCUUCUAGUUUCAUCCAUCUCAUGCUCAUCAAAAAGAAUCCACUAACAAGGUUGAUCAAGUCUUGUUAACAAACUCAUUCCGAUAAUCAUGAAACCGGAGAAAUUUCAAAUAACACUAGGUUACCUCAACAGGGAUAUGCACAUCCCCAAUAAUAAGUAUAUCAUAUUUCUUUUUGACAGUAGGAAGAGGAAAUUCAAAACCUCCAAUUAUAAUCGAUGGAAUUUUUCUAGUGGAGUUGAUACUAUGAACUUGAGGUUGUUUCCUCGGAAAGUGUACCGUAUGCUCAUUACCAUUAACAUGAAAAGUGACAUUGCCUUUGUUGCAAUCAAUAACAGCCCCUGCAGUAUUAAGAAAAGGUCUUCCAAGAAUAAUAGACAUACUAUCAUCCUCGGGAAUAUCAAGAAUAACAAAGUCUGUUAAAAUAGUAACGUUUGCAACCACAAUAGGCACAUCCUCACAAAUACCGACAGGUAUAGCAGUUGAUUUAUCAGCCAUUUGCAAAGAUAUUUCAGUAGGUGUCAACUUAUUCAAGUCAAGUCUACGAUAUAAAGAGAGAGGCAUAACACUAACACCGGCUCUAAGAUCACAUAAAGCAGUUUUAAUAUAAUUUCUUUUAAUGGAGCAUGGUAUAGUAGGUACUCCGGGAUCUCCAAGUUUCUUUGGUAUUCCACCCUUAAAAGUAUAAUUAGCAAGCAUGGUGGAAAUUUCAGCUUCCGGUAUCUUUCUUUUAUUAGUAAUGAUAUCCUUCAUAUAUUUAGUAUAAGGAUUAGUUUUGAGCACAUCAGUCAAUCGCAUACGCAAAAAGAUAGGUCUAAUCAUUUCAGCAAAGCGCUCAAAAUCCUUGUCAUCCUUUUUCUUAGAUGCUUUGGGAGGAAAAGGCAUGGGUUUCUGAACCCAUGGUUCUCUUUCUUUACCAUGUUUCCUAGCAACAAAGUCUCUCUUAUCAUAACGUUGAUUCUUUGAUUGUGGGUUAUCAAGAUCAACAGCAGGUUCAACUUCUACAUCAUUAUCAUUACUAGGUUGAGCAUCAUCAUGAACAUCAUCAUUAACAUUUUCACUAGGUUCAUGUUGAUUACCAGAUUGUGUUUCAGCAUCAGACAUAGAUAUAUCAUUUGGAUUAUCAUGUGGUUCAGCAAUAGGUUCACUAGAAGUUUGCACAGUUCUAUGAUUUUUCUUUUUCUUCUUUUUAGAAGAACUAGGUGCAUCAAUAUUAUUUCUCUGAGAAUCUUGCUCGAUUCUCUUAGGGUGGCCUUCAGGAUACAAAGGUUCCUGAGUCAUUCUACCAGUUCUAGUAGACACUCUAACAGCAUAAUCAUUUUUCUUACUAUUCAUUUCAUCAAGCACUUCUUUUUGAGCUUUAAGUACUUGUUCCACUUGAGUGGUAACCAUAGAAGCAUGUUUGGUAACAAGUUUAAGUUCACCUCUAAUAUUAGCCAUAUAAUCACCCAAGUAUUUAAUCAUAUCGGAAUUUUGUUUUAAUUGUCUACCAAAAUAAGCAUUGAAAUUUUCUUGUUUGAUGAUGAAAUUAUCAAACUCAUCAAAACAUUGCCUAGCAGACUUAUAGUGAGGGAUAUCACCUUCAUCAAAUCUAUAGAGAGAAUUUACCUUUACUACCUGUGUCGGGAUAUCGGGAUCAGGAGGUUCUUCAAUAAAUAAAGGAUUGAGAUCAUAUACUUCUUCAACAGGUGGUAUAUUAAGACCAUGUAUUUCUUCAAUAGGAGGUAAAUUCUUAACAUCUUCAGCUUUAAUACCUUUUUCUUUCAUAGAUUUCUUUGUCUCUUGCAUAUCUUCAGGACUGAGAAACAGAACACCUCUCUUCUUCGGAGUUGGUUUAGGAAUAGGCUUAGUAAUUGGAGCAGGAGCUGGCUCAGGGGCUGGCUCAGGAGGUGCCCAAUUAUUUUCAUUUGUCAACAUAUUGUUCAAUAGAAUUUCAGCUUCAUCUGGUGUUCUUUCCCUGAAAAGAGAACCAGCACAACUAUCCAGGUAAUCUCUGGAAGCAUCGGUUAGUCCAUUAUAAAAGAUAUCAAGUAUUUCAGGUUUCUUAAGAGGAUGAUCAGGCAAAGCGUUAAGUAACUUGAGAAGCCUCCCCCAAGCUUGUGGGAGACUCUCUUCUUUAAUUUGCACAAAGUUGUAUAUUUCCCUCAAAUCAGCUUAUUUCUUAUGAGCAGGGAAAUAUUUAGCAGAAAAGUAAUAAAUCAUAUCCUGGGGACUACGCACACAACCAGGAUCAAGAGAAUUAAACCAUAUCUUAGCAUCACCCUUUAAUGAGAACGGAAAUAUCUUAAGUAUAUAAAAGUAGCGCGAUCUCUCAUCAUUAGUGAACAGGGCAGCUAUAUCAUUUAACUUAGUAAGAUGUGCCACAACAGUUUCAGAUUCAUAGCCAUAAAAAGGAUCAGAUUCAACCAAAGUAAUUAUAUCAGGAUCAGCAGAGAAUUCAUAAUCCUUAUCGGGAACACAUAUAGGUGAAGUAGCAAAAGUAGGGUCAGGUUUCAUUUUAUCUCUGAGUGAUUCUUUGUUCCAUUUAACUAAUAACCUCUUGAGCUCAUAUCUAUCUUUGCAAGCUAAAAUAGCGGCAGAAGAUUCCAUAUCAAAAAGAUAACCCUCAAGAAUAACAGGCAUAUUUUCAUCAUCACUUUCAUCAUCGUAUUCAGAUUCAAUAAUUUCUUUCUCUCUAGCCCUAGCAAUUUGUUCAUCAAGAAAUUCACUAAGGGGCACAGUAGUAUUAGGCAUAGAAGCAGUUUCAUCAUAAGUAUCAUGCAUAGCAGAAGUGGCAUCAUCAAUAACAUGCGACGUAUCGGAACGAAUAGCAGAAGCAGGUUUAGGUGUCGCAAGCUUACUCAUAACAGAAGGUGAAUCAAGUGCAAGGCUAGAUGGCAGUUCCUUACCUCCCCUCGUAGUUGAGGGAUAAAUUGUUGUCUUAGCAUCUUUCAAGUUCUUCAUAGUGUCCAGCAGAUAUAAAUCCCAAGUGACUCAAAGAAUAGAGCUAUGCUCCCCGGCAACGGCGCCAGAAAAAGGUCUUGAUAACCCACAAGUAUAGGGGAUUGCAACAGUUUUCGAGGGUAGAGUAUUCAACCCAAAUUUAUUGAUUCGACACAAGGGGAGCCAAAGAAUAUUCUCAAGUAUUAGCAGCUGAGUUGUCAAUUCAACCACACCUGGAAACUUAGUAUCUGGAGCAAAGUGUUUAGUAGCAAAGUAAUAUGAUAUUGGUGGCAACGGUAACAACAGAGUAGUGCAAGCAAUAGUAAAUAUUUUUUGGUAAUUUGUAGUGAUUGUAACAGUAGCAGCGGGAAAGUAAAUAAGCGAGAACCAGUAUAUGGAAAACUCGUAGGCAUCGGAUUAGUGAUGGAUAAUUAUGCCGGAUGCGGUUCAUCAUGUAACAGCCAUAACAUAGGGUGACACGGAACUAGCUCCAAUUCAUCAAUGUAAUGUAGGCAUGUAUUCCGUAUAUAGUCUUACGUGCUUAUGGAAAAGAACUUGCAUGACAUCUUUUGUCCUACCCUCCUGUGGCAGCGGGGUCCUAUUAGAAACUAAGGGAUAUUAGGGCCUCCUUUUAAUAGAGAACCGGAACAAAGCAUUAGCACAUAGUGAAUACAUGAACUCCUCAAACUAUGGUCAUCACCGGGAGUGGUCCCGAUUAUUGUCACUUCGGGGUUGCCGGAUCAUAACACAUAGUAGGUGACUAUAGACUUGCAAGAUAGGAUCAAGAACUCACAUAUAUUCAUGAAAACAUAAUAGGUUCAGAUCUGAAAUCAUGGCACUCGGGCCCUAGUGACAAGCAUUAAGCAUAGCAAAGUCAUAGAAACAUCAAUCUCAGAACAUAGUGGAUACUAGGGAUCAAACCCUAACAAAACUAACUCGAUUACAUGAUAAAUCUCAUCCAACCCAUCACCGUCCAGCAAGCCUACGAUGGAAUUACUCACGCACGGCGGUGAGCAUCAUGAAAUUGGUGAUGGAGGAUGGUUGAUGAUGACGACGGCGACGAAUACCCCUCUCUGGAGCCACGAACGGACUCCAGAUCAGCCCUCCCGAGAGGUUUUAGGGCUUGGCGGCGGCUCCGUAUCGUAAAAUGCGAUGAUUUCUUCUCUCUAAUUUUUUCUCUCCGAAAGCAGAUAUAUAGAGUUGGAAUUAGUGUCGGAGGGUUUCCAGGGGGGCCACGAGGUAGGGGGAGCGCCCCCCACCCUCGUGGACAGGGUGUGGGCCCCCUGGCCUUCAUCUUUGGCGAGGGUUUUUUUAUUAUUUUUUCUAAGAUGUUCCGUGGAGUUUCAGGUCAUUCCGAGAAUAUUUGUUUUCUGCACAUAACAACAUCAUGGCAAUUCUGCUGAAAACAGCGUCAGUCCGGGUUAGUUCCAUUCAAAUCACACAAGUUAGAGUCCAAAACAAGGGCAAAAGUGUUUGGAAAAGUAGAUACGACGGAGACGUAUCACCCUACAAGUUUGCAAUUGCUGCAAGUAAUAGAUGCCAUCCUAGAUGUAUCCCUUGGUGUUGGUUUCUCAAAUGGGUUUUUCCUCCUCUUUGUUUGUUGCUUCCCAACCUUGUCUCUGAAAACCGGAGGCUCUAUGUCUUGAGUUCUUGGCCACAUAUUUGGACCAGGGACGGGAAAUAUGAUAUGGCCAUAUGUUCUACAUUGCCUUCUUGAAGAAAUCACCCACAAAGUCUUCAAGUUGCAACUUAGCUUUCACAAUUGCAGAUACUGCAUGAUUGCAAGGCAUAGCAGUCAUAUCCCAUUUCUACAUCCACUUGUUUUGUGCAGCAAGUUCACUGAGUAGGUGUUAUCUCCACUACUAACUUGGUAAAUGUUAGGACCAGCCAUCAAAGUUUGGCACCAACUUGAGUUGUACUUGGCCUCCUCUAACAUCUCAGCAUAUGUUGCGCAAAUUUCCCAAUUUUAUGUCUCUGUCUUAGUUCUAUUGGUGUUAAAUUUGACCAUCAAUUUUGUGCUAAUUCCUUCUAUCAUGGUCUUUAUUGGCUUCCCUCCAACAUCUAGUAUCAUUUUGUUAAACACCUCACUGAUGUUGUUCACAACGAGGUUAGUCUUGCAGUUAAAAUCCAUUGCAUGUCUAACCCAAGUAUGAACUGGUACUUUAUUAAGCCAUGCCCAAGCUGCCUUACACUCUCUUUUCAAAUCAUUCAUUGCAGCAAGGUGUUCAUUCUUAGUAUAAGAGUAUCUAGCUGCAUCCAUGUGUUUCUUUAAUUCAUCACCUCUAAAGCUAGCAGUUUGGAAAUUCUGAUAUAUAUGUGUAAGGCGGAAUCUUUGUGGACAAUUGGGGAAAACAUGGUUUACUGCAUUUAAAAGGCCCUGUUGACACAAUAGGAACUAGAGUUAAACAUUGGGCCUUUUGAGUUGUUGACAGAGCAAUGUGCAUAUGAAACAAUAGAAGUACAAUAGAACUAUGAGAAGAGAAGUUUACCUUCUGCCUAUCAGAAAUGAUGGUAUAGUAGCCAAACUUUCCGCUUUCUCCACCAAGUAUAUCUCUCAACUGUGUUAAGAACCAGGUCCAGUUGCAUGUGCCCUCUUUGUCAACAACUCCAAAUGCUAUAGGAUAUAUAUUGUUGUCUCCGUCCUUUCCUGUUGUAGCAAGGAUCUGUUGACAUGUUGACAGCUUGAUAAAACAACCAUCUACCCCUGUAAAAUGGCAAAUGUGAGAAGAUAUUGUAUUUAAUGUGAGCACAUAAACACUUCACAAGUUACAAAACAUAGUGUACCAAUGAAUGGCUUGCAUCCAUUUAAAACCCCUUCUUUGCAAGCAUUAAGACAGAAGAACAUGCCAUGGGACCUUGGAUUUUUGCUUGGGUGCUCUGGCAGAUGCUUAGUGGUCACAACACAUGUACUGCCUCGGUUUGUAUGUAAUACAUACUGCAAAUAAUCUUUAAUCCUAGUGUAUUGUCCUCUCUGAUCUCCUUGGACAACCUUCAAUGCUUGCUUCCUAGCCCUAUAGGACAUAUGGGUUGAGAUCUCUACUCCAUAUUUCUUCUUCAAAUUUUGCACUAUUGUGGUGAUUUAGUGUGCUAGUAUCAGUUCUCGUCAUGGCCUCACACUGGUGUGCCACCCAUUUUCUUGCGACCUUGGUAUUCUCUGCUACUGUUGGGCAUGUGUGCAGAAAAGUAGCCUUUCUUAUGCAAAAAGUACUCUCAUUUGCGAUAACAGAAGCAAUGUCGAAAGAGCAUUUUACAUUAGUGCACACAACUAUGAUGUUGUCAUUGUAGUUUCAGUGGAACUCAUAGUUCAUGUUCUGACCUAUGUGAAAUGUCUGAAGCGCUCUUCUAAAUUGGUACACAUUGAGGAAACAAAGCUUUCUAUAAAACUGCUCCUAUGGGUUCUCUCUGUCAUCACUGUACCACUUCCUUGGCAAACAUUUAUAUGCUCUACUCUUCCUUCCAAUGGGAAGAACAAAAUGUUCUUCCUUAGCUCCAUCAUCAUAUUCCUUCUUCAACUCACCUACACCUAUCUCCUCAUCAGAUCAUGGUAUCCACACAUCCUCAAAUCUUUGCUCCAAGCUAGAAUGUGACCUCUUGGUUGGCCCUUUUCUAGAUUUGUUCUUAUUUGGUGGCUCAUGUUGUUGCUCCUCAUGCUCCACCUGAUCCUCUUGCUCAUGCUCAACCUGCUCCUAUUCCUCUUCCUCAACCUGCUCCUCUUCCUCAUCUUCCCCAUACACUUCAUCCACAUCAGUGUCUCCUUCAAAAUGAACGAGUGGGUCCUCUCUCUGCCUCCUCAUCUCAUUAAGCCUCUGAAGAAAGUCUUCAUAUGCAUCCGGAUCAUAAUCAUCUUCAGUUAAAAGAACUGGUAGUUUUUUCUUAACCAUUUGAACAUGAUUAGCUGCCUUCUUAUGUUUUCAAAAUUUGGCAAUCUUUGUUCUCCUCUUUAGCUCCAUUAGUGUCUCCAGCUCAUCGUGAUCCAUAGCAGCAUCUAAGUUUGUGCUCUGCUGUGUGGAGAAGAACUGCACUGGCUCUGACUGCUUUUGUUUAUUGGAUUUUUCUGGUGAUCUGAAGAGAACACCAGACGGAUUGACUUCAUACACAUGUUUCUCUCCUAAUUGACUCAAAGGAACCUGCUCCUCAUACACAUAGCCUGAAUUAAAAUAUGCAGGUCUUUGAUCAAUGCCCCUAAUCACUGUCAAGUUCACUACAUUCUGAUCCUUAUUAGCAAUAUGGUCAAGCAUCUCAUCAACCUUCUCAUCAUCACAAAUUUCUUCCAAUCCUGCAAUACCCACACCAAGAUCCCUCACAAAGUAAAUGUAAUCAGUAGAAUCAGCCAUAUCCCUCUAUCUCUAUUAGUGCUACCAAAUUGUAAUAUGUGAUGUCUGAAAUGCAGAUCAUCUCUCCAAGUUGUCUCUGUCACGGAAGUGCAUUCUAACUUCCCAAACAACAACAUCCGAACUAGACGGCAAGAUAAUACAACAAUUUUAAUUAAUACUACAUAAUUACUAUAAAAGAAGUUAACAUAUAGCUCUUCCCACAGGUUUGAGAACUGCUCGUUUUUCAAUCGACAUUUCAAAACAAUGUUGUCGAUGUGAUCAAAAUGAAAAUGAAAUGCCCUCUUUUUUCUGUGUGACUUUGCUAGAGCAACUUGGUUUGGCCAUCCUUGGUACAUUAAAACUGAUAUCUUAGCCUAGAAUCAUCUUUCUAUGCAAAGUAUUAUUCAUGGCUUGCUUAAUAUGCAACCAUGCCCACUAUUUUCAAUUUUAUGUGGUGCAUACAGAAAUUGAGAAAUGAUUAUCUUUUUGCCAGAAAAUGCUCUCUUCUCAUCAAGUUCAUCAUAUUUUUGCUGCUGCCUUGCUUGAUCCAAACAUUUCAUUGGUAAACUCUUCUAAUCUUGCUCAUGUUAAUGAUCAAAAUCACAUUCAACGGACCAAAAAUGUGAUGCCGCUUCAAGGUUGCACCCUUAGGAGUGAUUUAAUUGUCAUAAGAGCUAAAAUAUACUCUGACACCUCCUACAAAUGAUUAAAAAUUCCUGGUUUAGUGCAGGGUACACCAGCCACGGGCAUUGGGGGUUUUCUAAACUUUUUGCAGGGUCAAAAGGACGUUCAAGUGCAGAUUCAAGCCUCUGUUGUGAUCACACAAUCUCCUCUUCAAGCUGAAGCCCUUGCUCUUCUUCUUGCAGCCAAAAAGGCUCAUAUUUUGCAGGUGGAUCAACCAACCUUUCUCACUGACUGCCUAUCUUUCGCGAAGGCGGCUGUGACCAGAAGUAUUUCAGAUGAUUGUAUUCUGUGGACUAUCAUAACUACCCUUGCUAAUUUCUUCAGAACAACGAGCGAUCUUCAUGCGCGGGUCUACCACAUAUCUAGGGAGAUUAAUGAGAUUGCGCAUAAUGUUGCUCAUCAGAUUCUCACUUGUGCAUCGGAAGCUGUCUUUAGUUGCUUUGGUUCAGCUCAUAGGAACAUGUCAUGCCCUGUAAUCUCUCGUCUUUCUAACCUCAAUCUACAGGGUUUUGUACCACACGUCGUACACUGUCAUUGAGCUAAAUGAAAUUUUGGCGCUGUGGGCGCCUUUCCUUGUUAAAAAAAGAUAAGUCAGACUCAUUUUGUAAGCAUAACACACAACCAAAAGCCAAAACCAACGCCUAAAUCGUAUAAGCGCAAAGAAGACUUUGCAAGGAUAACGGUAGGACAUGCCAAGAUAAUUCUUCUUCUUCUUUCAUCAUCCUCAUCAUCAUCGUCGUCGUCAUCAUCGUUAUUUUCUGGUAUCAAGAUUUGGUGAGGAAUUUGUAUCAAUUAUAUGUGGUAUGGUAAGGAAUUAUCUCUGGCCUGAGAGAUGGUAGUCCAAGGUGUGGCAUUGCAAGAUUGGAAAGGGCUGAAUAGGGUUGCAAAGUCAAAAUGCGCCUCUCGCAGUGACAAUGCCACCACGGUUAUUUUCUCAUAAUAGAAAAGUGAAAACAUAACAUUAUAGACCAAUUUUUUCCUAUUUUGUGUUUUUACUAGUGGCUUUCUCCAGUUUUUUCUUUUCUCUAUAUUUCUUUUUAAAAUUCAUGAAUAUUUUUUAAAAAAUUCCAAGAACAUUUGUUCAAUUUUGUGAACAUUUUUUGAAAUCUGAGAACAUUUAUUAAAUUUUGUGAACAUUUUUUGAAAUUUGAGAAUAUUUUUUGGAGUCUGGAAGUUUUUGAAAUUCUCGAAGAUAUUUUGAAUUCACGAAUAUUUUUUGAAAUUCAUGGACAGUUUUUUUGAAUUGGUGAGCAUUUUUUGAAAUUUGUGAACAUUGCUUUUUAGAUCUGUGAAUUGUUUUUGAAUUGAUGAAAUUUUAUGAAACCUAGGGACAUAUUUUUGGACUUCACGAACAUAGUUUGAAUUCACUACUCCCUCCGAUCCAAAUUAAUUGACAAGCCUCUAUACAAUGCUAUAUAGAGGUUGUGUCAAAUAAUUAGGAUCGGAGCGAGUAUUUUUUUUUGAAAUUCACGAUCAUUUUUUUGAAUGGACAAACAUUUUUCGAAAUUCAUGACCUUUUUUGGAUUCAUGAUCAUUUUUUCGAAUUGACAAUCAAUUUUCGGAUCGGCACACAUAUUUUGAAAUCCAUGAUUUGUUUUUUGAAUUAGGACCAAUUUUGAAUCAGCGAAGUUUUUUUGGAUCAACAAAAACUUCUCAAAAUUUAUGAACCAUUUUGAAAUUAGGGACUCGUUUGAAUUCCUGAACAUUUUUAAAAAGAAAAAAAAGAAAACAGAAAUAACGAAAAACAAAAUGGGCGCCCGGCCCGCAAUGGGCCUGUGCAAACCGUGCGGGGACGUCCCGGGGCGCUGCUAUAACUCCUCACGUCGCUCAAACGUCCCUCAAGUUUUAGGUUUUAGGCUUUCGUUUUUAUUUAAUUUUAUAAUUUUACUAAAUAAUAUAUUUAUUAGAAAAAUAUUUUACUACUUCAAUAAAAAAUGACUUGCAUGUAAAAAUAUUUUUCAUGUAUUUGAAAGUAGUUAUUCAUCUUGUAUUUUAAAAAUGGUUCAUGCGUGUUGCAAAAAAUGUACAUCCUGUAUUUUAAAAAAUAUAAAAAUGUUCACAAACUAUUUAAAACAAAUCAUCAUGUAUUGAAAUUUGUUCAUCAUAUAUUUGAAAACUAUUAAAAAAUUGUCGCAUGUAGCUCAAAGUGUUCAUGCAAUUUUUAUAAAAAUACACAAUGAUAGUUUUUAGAUACACUUAACCAAUUUUUGGUACAUGACAAGAAAUUAUCGAAUAAUUGAUAACCAUUUUCUUAAUACACAACGGUUACUGGGAUACAUGUCGAUACUGGGGCAAGAAGGGCCGCUGGACCAACAUGUGCUUAUUGGGACUAUUUGUUCUUUGAUUGCAAUGCGGGCCUCGAAGAAUUAAUUUUUGUGCUUUCUAGUAUCGAUGUAUUUGUUAAGUCCGUUAAUCAUGCUUUUGUUAAGUAAUUUCCCAGUGGCGCUUUCUUACAUACCAGGGUUCGACUCCUAAAAAAUUUUAUGUAUGUAAUAAAAGCUACCAUGCCUAAAAAAAAGGUAAUAUAAGCUACUUUUUUUAAUGGAAAAGUAAUAAGGUACCUAGGCUUAUGUCAAGAUUAAAAAAAAAACUUGUAUGUAUGUAAACACGCCAUGCAGACGUUGCUGGUUUUUCUGAUAUAUAUGGUAAGCGCAUUUUUAUUGUGUUGAACAAUACGCGGAUGUUAUCAGUCAUGCUGAUCUGCAAAUUAUAAAGUUUUACGUUCUGCAGUGCAUAUGAGAUAAGAUUAAGCACAAAGAUUAAGCAGCUUGCAGGUGUUGAGUUUCCUGGAAUCCUCUGUUUAUAUGGAUGAGCAAUGAAGUACUCCUAGUAUUGUAAUGGGUCAUUACAAUGCUACUUUUUAGAUGAUCAUAUCAUGAAAAAUUCUCAUGAAUUACUUACAAAAAAUCCUAUCCUGCAGGUUUUUUUUGUCUGAAUCAAUCAUCAAUCCAUCAAAGAGGCCAAAAUGUUGUUCAGUGCCAACGUGCACACUCACAACGAAGCAUCAUCCAUUCCUGGGUGCACAUCUAACCUGCAGGUCACAAAUCCCUAGCUAGGGAGGGAAAACAAUGCAACAAAAUACUACUAGUGUUGCAUCAUUUCCAGACACCAUCCAUCCAUUUAAACAUACUCCACCGGUUCAUGUAUAACACAUUAUGUAUAUAUAGGAGGAUCGGAUCGGAUCGCAUCGCUAGGGUUCCCUUUCUUCUUUCUUUCUUUCUUUCUUCCCAUCCCACAAGAGAGAAAGGAAGAUCGAUCGACGACACAGACACACAAUUCUACUAAUAACACAGACAAGGAAGUUAGGAAGGAGGGAGCUUCUUCCUUCCUUCCCACAAGAAGGUAUAUAUUCAGUCAAGUCAACCCACCAACCAGACCAGACCAGACCAGGCAACAAAAGAAUAUCAUCUCUACUUUUUUUUUCUCUCUUUCUACAACCAUGACAGGCAAAGAGGGGAGGGGGGACGAGGCAACGGAGAUCAAUCGACGGGCGGCGCCACUCUUCAUCACCAAAAAAAGCUUCCAAUUCAGAUCAACAACAACAACACAAGUCUUCUUCUUCUUCUUGUCUUCUCUUCCUUGCAUUCAGACUCCUUCCAGCCAGUCCGUUUGCCCCUGAUACAUAAUAUCACAACAGCAAACAACCAGUCAGCUUCACUUCAGUUUCAUCAAUUACUAGUGUUUUGGGAUGCAAUGCACAGAUAUAUAAAUUAAUGUUGCAACCCAAUGUGCGCCAUCGUCAAUAUAUAAACAAACAACACAUGGCAAAGCGCUUCAUACUUGUUUUAGGGAGUUACAGGCCUACUACAUCUCAAAUUAUAACGACUCCAUCACAGCAGCAGGGAAAAUGAAUGCAAAUAUAGGAG